CGUGUUAGAAUUUUCCAGUAAAGCUGUGGACGUAGCUUCAAUCACCUUCAAGAAGAUGUUCAUUAGAACGUAAUAACAUGUAAAUAAACAUCAUCCGGUUUGUAGUUUUCCAAACUUCUCCAUAGCGCAUUAAUUUAAUGUUAGCAAACUCAUUAUUUCAGGGACCAUCAACCUCUGUAUAAUUAUACUUUUUUUCUUUACUUGUUUCUUUAUUUUUCCAGAACCAAGUCGCUCAUGUGCUGCCUGCUGAUCAGUCGUAAUGAUGCUUCUUCAAUUAGAAAGUUCAAUUUGAAAGGUCGACCCGGGUUCAAAUCCGCCUGCCGGCUCCUCGGGUGUUUGAGGAGUGAUGAAAUGGGAAGUGGCCCCCCAUCUUAUGGACGGUGUAGGACGUGAUAAUAUCAACUUGCGAGCUGACCAGAAACUAAGUUGAUGCGCCGUUGAUCCGCUAGAUUUGGUUGGAUGCUGGUGGUGAGUUGCCGAACCCAACGAAUACAUUCUGAAGUCGGAUGGGGUGACGGAUUAGGGUGCCCCUCUAGCAGGGGAGAGCAGGGACUGCCCCGGGAAAGGGGGCCGCUGGCGAAGUUAACCACCCUGUAACAACAUACAUAUAAGAGCCAUGAAGUUGAGCUGUGAUGCCAAGAGCCCAUAGACAUAAGCGGCCGCUGUAGCGGCGAAGGGCGAUCAGGUGUGUGUGUAUGUAUGUGUGUGUGUGUGCGUCAGUGUGUGCGUCAGUGUGUGUGUGUUCGCGGCCUCUUAGUGGCCCCCAAAGGCACCAAAUCCGUACACACACACGCAUACACACACACAGACUGACGCCGCAAUGAAAAGGCACGUCUGCGGGAGGCCCCUCCUCCGAAACCAGUACCUAAUUCCACCCCCUGGAUCUCACCACGGGCCCAGAAUGGAUCCCGAUUCGGAUCUUGAGCGGCUCCCCCGUGUUGGGCAGCUGCAUGCUACCCGCCUCACGAAGCAUUGCCUGAGGUUGGUUGGGAGGUUGGUUGGGUUGGGGGUGGGGAGGAAUGGGAGGUAAGGAGGGGCCAGAGGGGGCUCGGAAAGUCACGGAAGACCGGCGCCCUUCCCCCACCCAAAUGAAAAUGUACAGUCGACUGCCUAUAUGGGUGCUUUUGGGGGGAAAGACGAACCACGAACGAGUGAAGCUGCUGCCAGGGUAAGAGUUUUUUGGGGGAGGGGAUACGACGACGAAGCACAGACGAUAUACGGGUACUCCAGGAGAAGACAAACACUGCAUCAGGAAUAUUCACUGACCCAUGAUGACGUGAACAGGGAGGUGUCGGCGAGGGUCGACGAGGGGGACAUAGAGAGCGGUUGCGGAACGGAAAACUAGCUUGUCAAGUCCCAAGUCCCAAGUCCAAAGAAGGCAGAAGGGUAAAAAAGCGAAAAGGACUACCCAGCCGCCGAGGUGAAAGGAAAGUCUUUUAAAAAGACGCAGCAGGAAAGCAAACGAAACCGUAGUGGUGUAAAGUGUAGAACUAGAGGCGCCAAAGAAAGGAGGAGGGUUUCUGCCUAGCUAGGAUAAUAUCCACCCUUCCCAUACCCCUUACCUGCCUACCUGCCUGCCUGCCCGGGCUCACCUUUGCAAAGCUCAUGACUCGUACGGCAUGCAGGGGGUCUACCGCGCCGGGGCCGUGUACGGAAGCAAACCCCUCUUCGUCCUUCCGAAUAAGGCCCCCCGCCACCAUGUAGCAGUCGCCGAUGGUCUCCACCUGGGGCCCCAACGGGGGGGGCGGAGGGGGGGAAGAGGGAGGGGAGGGGGAACAUGGAGAGGGGAAAACGGAGGAGGAGAGGGGCGGAGGUACGAGCAUGUCCCGGUACGACAAGGCAUGGCACAGCUUCCCCCGGUGCAGCAGCAGCAAUAGCAUUAGCUGCUUCAUGAGUAUGGUCCGUGUGCCCUGAUCUCCUCCUUCCCCCCACCUCCUGGAGAUGGGUGCGAGGGGCGGAGGAUGUGAUCCGGCCCGCGAAUCAACCCGCCUGUACGACCCGCCACUUCCCCCUCAAGACAACUGCCGUACAAACACAGCCGCUGUCCACGUUCCCUCUUACCCUUCCCCCGCCCGCCCCAUGCGCAGCCCUACCUUAUACACGCCGUACACGUCCAGCAGAGUGUCAAAUCGGUUGUAGAGUUCGUUGAGGAAGCUCAUGACCACCUCCGGCUCGACCUCCUUACACACUGGGGGAAGAUAAGGGGGGCCGGAGAUUUCGGGAUGUGUGUGUAUGUGUGUAUGUGUGUGUAUGGAAGGGGGAGGAAUUGGUAGGUUGGUGGGGCCAUUCCACGUACUCGGGCAUUCACAGACGUGUUGAGGCAUCCUCCCACCACCCGACUGCCCAGAUACCCCCCUCCCCCCACCUGGGGGGUAGACCCCCCUGGUACGUAGGUGGGUAUAGACCUCUGCAAGGUCCUACAGGCUGCGCGUGUGUGUAUGUGUGUAUGUAUGUGUGUAUGUACGUGUGUGUAUGUACGUGUGUGUUUGUGUGUAUGUAUGUGCGUCCACGUAACGCGAUUGUGCGGGCGCAACGAUGCCGCAGCGACCUGCAGGCGGACCUCUUCCCGUCUUUCCCCCUCCCCCAAAUCCGCCUGUAUGAUAAGGCUCCUCCCUCUCCCUCUUCCUGAGGCCUGAAGCCACCAUUACUCCUAUUAAUUCCUAAACAGCCUCCCCCUUGCCCCCCUCCCGCUCCUUCCCCCGUCCUCCCCCCUCCCGCCCUCCUUCCCCCUCCACACACUCCUAUACGCACUCUCGUACACCCAAGGCAGUCAGCCAGUCGGGCCUUACAGGGGGGCCCCGGUCCCCCCAGUGUGGUGCAGCUACGUGCGAGGCUACGUGCGCAGCUACCCCUCAAAACACGCACUCACUGCUGGUGAAGCCCUUGAUGUCGGCGAACAGAAUGGCCACUGCGUCGUGUUUGGUCGCCAGCUUGCCGACGUCCCGCCUGAACAUGUGGAAGGCGCACGUGGGUCGCUGGGCGGCUGCAGCGGCGUCCACGGCCAUGUGCUCCAACACGUGGCGGGGGAAGAUCUGGACUUGUGGGGGAGGCGGGGGGAAGAGAGGGACAAGGGGAGGGGGAAAGGGGGAGAGGGGGAGUUUGCGUUCCCGCCUUGUCAGAAAGUCUGGUUUCGCCGCGGAGUUAAUACGGUGCACAAAAUCGAUUGCGUUCACAUCCACACACAUCCACACGCCCGCAAGAUCAACGUCCCCCCCGGGGCUACCUCACCCCAUCCGACCCCACCUUCUACUCCCCUUUACAUAUAUACACGCAUACAUACAUACAUACACACACAUCCCGCACCUGCUCCAGGAUUUGGUGUUCCGCGUCCAUCAGCUCGGCCAACUGCCGCUCCGUCUCCACCUUGGCCGUGACAUCCAUCUUGAGGUAGUUAGGUAGUUAGGAGGUUGGGUAGGUAGUUGGGAAGUUCGUUCGGUUGGUCGGCGUAAUGAUAACAACAACAAGAUAUUACAACACGGCAGGACUGCAAAAAGACCUUUGUUUGUUAUAGGCUGCACCAGGUCUUCCCCCGCAUGCAUCUGUAUGUAUGUACAUAUGUAAAUGUUACUAACAGCACACAUAUCGCACAGGAAAUGCAGGACCGCAUGGACGACAGGCAGACAGACAGACAGACAGACAGACAGGACUCCAUAAUGACCCUGGCGGGCUUUCCCCCGCCUCCACUCCCCCACCUCACACUCACCUGCAUCAGAAGAAUACAUCGCCGUCGCGACACGGGGUCGCGAAACGGCCGGGCGGAGAUCUCGUGCCAGCGAGCGUCCUCCUCCUCCUCCUCCUCGACCUCCUCCUCCUCGACCUCUUCCCCCUCUCCCACCAGCACCUGUUGCUGCUGCUGCUGCCCAGCCUCCCCCUCCUCCUCCGCGGCGCCCUCGAAGUAAUCUUGCUGCUCCUCCUCCACCACGAAUACGUCCUCUCCCUCCCCCUCCCCUUCCCCACCAUCGUCACCGUUUCCCCCCUCUUCCUCCUCUUCCCGGGCGCUCACACAGUCCUCCGCCUCCGUCUCACCCUCGCCGUCCGCCUCCACCUCCGUCGCUACAGCCGCAGCCGCCCCUGCAGCCGCCAGGGCUGCCGAGAUUGUUCCGCGGGCCUGUGCGAACUGUUGGACCUGAGACCGCGCAAAUGGCGACACUUCGAAUGGGUUGGAGGCGAGGGAGCUGUAGCCGCAGCUGUUGUCCACUGCCGCCACCGUAGCAAACCCCAAUGCCCCCCCCGCCGCCGCCGCCGCCGCCCGACCAUCACCUGGCCUGCCAGGAACAGUGGAGCCCCUGCCCGCCACCGAGCCGCCGCCGCCGCCGCCGCCGCCGCCGUCGCCACUGCCGUCGCCAUUGCCGCCGUCGUCAAGGAAAGCCGAUGCCACCGACCGGAACGAUUCCGGGCUGGCGGCGCUGCCGUCUGCAGCUGCCGUCACGGCGGUUGUGGCCGCGGAGACGACCCGUACGGCGGCAGGUACGGCCCCCUCCGAUGCGCAGAUGGGUGGGUGGUCCUGUAAGUCCUCAUCCCACCCUAAUGCGGCUGAGUGGCCGCCACCGCCAGACGUACGUGUCCCGUUACGGCGGACGCCGUCGUCGCGCCGUAACUCCUCCUUCUCCUCCUCCUCCUCCUCGUGCUCUUCAUCUGUGCUGUUGAGGCUGCUGGCGUUCGGGUUGCCGCCAAGAGGCCUGGCAGCCGUCAUGGCAUUUCGUUUCAGCUGCAGCUCACGUCGCCCUUCUCCCACUGCCGCCAGUCCCGGCUCCCCUGUAGCAGCGGCGGCCGCCGCUACAGCCGCCGCCGCCGCUACAGCCGCGGCUGUAACGACAGGCCCCUCCUCGGCGGUGCCGCCACCGGCCCCGCCGCCGCUUGCAUCUCUCGCACUCGCAAUGUGUUUCAUUGCUAGGAAGUCAGUGGCCGUGGUGGUGGUGGCCGUGGUGGUGAUGGUAGUGGUGGUGGUGAGCGGUGGUGGUGGGCUGGAAGUGUGGUGUGUGCCAAGCGGGCUGCUGCUGCCAUUGCGCGCGGGGGAGGCGGUGGCAGCCACGGCGGGCCGUGUUGCCUCAUCAGGACCUUUGGCAUGGGGGGCGCCAUUUGCCAAAACAGGCAACUGGCCGCGACGGCCGGGAUGCGGCAACGAAGCCAUCUUGUUCAUAGGCCCCUUCGCAGAGGCAGACCUUCCCUGCCGCUGCUGCACCCCGUGCUGCUGCCGCCGCGACAUCGAUGCUACUGCCGCAGGGGAGCUGCUGUUACUACUGCUGUUGUUGAUGUUGUUGUUGUUGUUGUUGUCGUUUCCAGGGACAAUGGCACGAAGUAUGGAAUUGGUCUGUCCUCGCCGCUGCUGCUGCUGCUGCUGUUGUCGUGCGGUGGCGCGCUGAACGGAGGCCGCGGCGAAGAAGACCUGCCCGCAGGUUUUCAGAGCAGGAGUGUCAAGGCAGGUCGUGCGCGUGACUGUGUGCGUGUGUAUAUAUGUAUGUGUGUGUGAGAGUGGGUCCGCCCUUGAGUCAUGUGUAACAUUGCACACGCAGCACAUUGGGGUAAUGUUGGCCCGUCUUAUGUGAUAUAAUACACAUAUCAUAAACAUACACACAAACAUGUACAUAAAUAUGUACACACAUUCUCACCACGCGGGGCAAUGGCGUGCUGACGGAGCUCGUCUGGCUGCGCCGCCGGCCGCUGGCGGACGCCGCUCGUACGGGCGCCGCUGCGGUUCCGGAGGUCUGCGCCGUGGGCGAUUGUGGCAACGGCGCCGUACCCGUGCCGCCGCGCGCGCCCGCCGCCGUACCGGGCAGCGGCUGCGACAGCCGGGGCAGCCAGUGCCGCCGUUGCAGCAGCGGCGACAGCGGCUCGCCGCUGCUGACAGAGGCACGCCGCCGCCGCCGUGCCGUUUGGCCACGGAGCGAAGCGGCGCUGGGCCAGGCGCCCACGAGGCUCCAAGAAGACGUGGUCAUGGCCUGGCCGUACAGAUUCGAUCCCGAGGGCAUGGGCGGGUCCUUUAAAUGACAAGCUCAGAGGUCGGAACGCAGAGGUCGGACUGGCAACUGUACGACAGGUGUGGCGUAUAUUAUAGGGACAUCCGGCCCCGCUUCCUUCGUUUUAUAGACCCCAGGUCAGCUGACCCGUGGGUCAUGUCGCUGGAUAUGACAUCAAACAGCGAGCCGCCGUAUGCCCAGAGCAAGCAGCAGGCAGACAGAUAGACAGACAGAUAGACAGACAGGCAGGCAGGAGCACCCGUCUAUCCAUUCCUCCAUUCACCCAACCCCAAAGCGUAUCCAGGGCGGUGAAUCCUAAAGGAUAUGCAUACAUGCAUACAUACAUAGAUAUACACACACGCACCUGCAGAUCGAGCACCACAUUGCCGGAUGGGCUGCGCCGUGGCUGCCGUCGGCGAUCCACACUGCCGUACAUUCUCGUGAAGGAGCCGCCGCUGACGGACACGCCGGUCGGCGAAGCCGCCGACGCCCGAGCUCGUGACUCCGCCGCCGCCGCCAGCGCCGCCGACGCCGACGCCAGGCUAAAGCUGUCUGCGCGCGGCAGGGUCCCAGAGAUCUCCUGCCGUUGCGCCGCCUUCGCCGAUGCACCGGAACCGCCGUCGUUCAGUUGAGGUAUGCUGGCCGUCACGCUUGUGGCGCUGCGCUGUACCGACAGGCCGCCGCCGCCGUCGUCAGUAUCGGUGGUAGAGGUAGCGGCGACGGCGCCUGGCAAGUACGACACGGUCGGCUGCUCGUCCAGCGUCGCCACAUCCUCCCCGCCUUGCAAAUGCGACGUUGACGUGUCCACAUCGAGGCCGCUGCCGCUGUUGGCGACGUCCCGAUUGCCGUGAUCGUUGACACCUGGCGGCCGUACGACGUCGUACAGCGGCGGGCCCGCCACAAAUUAGUGGGGGCCGCGGGAUGGCAAAGAGCAUCAUCAUGGUCUGCUUGCGGUCGUACAGCCGCCGUAUCGGUGGCCGCUGUACGACGGCCGCGGCUGGCAGUGGCAGCACCCAUCCCGUCCAUCCGCCACACAUCACAAACUUAACAUCGACCCGUACUACUCGCGCCGUACAUUCUACCUAUACCCGCAACCACAGCCCCCAAUGCCUAGGAGUAACGACUUGGCUUGGCGAGGGGCAGGCCGCCGCCGCCGCAGCAGCAGCCAAUGCUUGUCGCCGCCGCAACCGCAACCGCUUCCAGCGCCGCCGCUGGUACCGCCGUACCGCCACCUCCGUACGCGUAUCAAUCUCACCUUCGCCUCCAAACCGCGACCGCUGCGACUUGGGGGAGAACCACCUGGCGAACGAUCCCGCUGCUGCAGCAAUCGGUGUAGGACAAGACCGGUGCAUGACGUACGGCAAAAAGACGUACGUACGGCAAGGCACAGGUUUAAAAACCAGAGAGUGGGCCCCGAAGGGAGAAAGGUAAAUAAAAGAAUUGGAAAUUUGUAGGCUUCUCGAGAGCUGGGAUUUGUACGGCAGGAUUCAAAAGUACAGCAGCACCAUGAUUAGGACGCAGACGAGCUAGCGGAGGAGAAGAAAAAAGCGCGGAGGGGCCGCGAGUCGCGGGGGAACAUCGUGGCGAGGAAAACACACAACUGGGAGGUAGGGAGGGGUGAGGGGAGUGAAGAGAGGUCCUGCCAGGCGGGGGAAAACGGAAAGAGGCACACAAAGAGGAAAACAACAAAUGUUGUGCAAAAGCGCAUAACGCACACCUGUCGUACGUGUCGUACCUGCCACACGUGGACUGCCCUGUGUUCGUGAGGAUGACGGUGACCAUGAAGGUGACGGCGACGGCGACGGCGAAGUUGAAGGUGACAGGGGCCUCCGGGCGCCGGCAGUGGCGGCGGCGAGGAGGGAGGUGGUGCCACCUCGGACGUUACUGACGGCCUUUGCGGCCUCUGAGCAGUCGGCCUGUGCGCGUGUGUGACACGGAUGGUAGACAGACAGACGCGGAUGCCGGUUUUGUGGGGAUGUCGAAUCAAAGACAGCACCGGCGCAUGGGCGUGAAGGUCAGGUUAGAAGGACAUGCCCGAGGCCGAACUCCCCAACACACACUGCGCAACGGUAGCCCCGACCUCCUCUCUAGCCAUCCCCAAUCAACCCCCUGGUACGCAAAUCACCCCCCUAACCCCCCGUCAUUUUAAAACGCCUCCGAACUCACCCUCACCCUCACCCUCAUUCCAGCACCCACCUCAUCCAUGGAGCUGUAGCACUCUCCGCCGCCGCUACUGCUCGCCGGCGCCACAACCCCCACGCCGGACAUGAAAGCGCCAGCCGCGCCACCACGGCCACCAGACGCCGACGCCUCUAACCCGAAGCCCCACGCAGGAGAUUGAGACAGCGACUCGGCGGCGGCGACGGCACGCGGCGCUAACGGCCCUCCUAGCGGCCCUAGCGGCGGCCAUGUAUGGCACGGUUCCGCCGACUGUUUCGUUAACCCCUCCACAUCGUCGUCCACAUCCGGCUCCGUAGCUCCAUCCUCGGUCAACGAGGUUGCCCCGCCGCCGCCGACGCCGCCGCCGCCAGCAAUAGCAGUAGCAGCAGUAGCAGUAGCAGCGGCCUCGCCAUCUAGUUGAUGACGCUGAUAGCCAACAUGAAAACGUUGCUGUGACUGUGCAUGCUGGAGAUGCGGCGACGGGUGCGGCAACUGGUGCUCGUCCAGCUCGUCCCACAGAUAUGGUGGCACACGUACGAUGCCCGUCCAGGGUCGUCCAUCCAUAACGUACGACAGCAUCUCCGGCAGCUUGGCGGAAUCCAGAUAGAAGAGCCGCUCCAACGUGCUUACCCUGCCGCCGCGACGUUGCUGGCGCGGCUGGGGGUGGUGAUAGCCCAUGUAAUCUACAGAUAGCGCGUUUUGAUGAAACACUCGUCCGUGGAAAUCAAACAACGUAAUGAUGGCGGAGACGCUGGAUAAGAUGGAACAGUCACGCUGCAGCCUAUCGUACAGCUCCGGGACUGUAGCCACGGCCGCGUCGGCGCCGGCGUCGGCGCUGACGUGUUCUAGCAGCAGCGCCGGCAGCUCCAAGCAGGAUUCGAACGCGGGAUCGCGGGCUGGCAAGCUGCUUCCCACCGGCAAUGAAGCGAAUCGCGACAGGGUAGGCUGCGGAGAGAUUGUCACCACGGAGGAUGAAGCACGGCUCGCCGGCGCGGAUGCCAAUCCAUGGCCCACGGCUGCGGCGGCAGCGAGGGCUGUAGCUGUGGGGUUAGCUGUGGGCAGCAUGGCGGCACCGGCGGCAGCAGCAGCCUGAACCGGAACUCGACAUGGCGUCAGACGAAGCACCGUGAAAAUCUGCUGCAGCCCGUUGCCGCCGUGGCAAUCUUCGCUGGUGCCUGUGCCUGUGGCGGCGCCGCCACCGGCGAGUCCGCUCCGCCAGGAUGUCGAUGGCGAAAACAGCACCUCCUCUCCACGAACCUCUGCACCAGAUAUCUGGUGCGCGGCUGGCUCCGAAACCCUAAAACUACCGGAUGACCCGACGCCUGGCGGAGCUGUCAUCAUCACCCGCUGGGCCGGUUGUGGCAGCACUGGCGGCGGUGGCGGCUGCAGCGGUGGCGGCGGCGUCAGCGUCAAGCGGUUGUACGAUGGCGGGCGCAACCCCGUGGCUGUGCCGCCAGGCACUAUGUGGGUCAGCGGCGGCGGCAGUCCAGCCUCGGUCGCCAUCUGCCGCGCCAUCUCCCUAAGCAGAGCUUGUAGCGCUGGGUCUCUGUCGCACAUGUAUGCCAGCACGCUGUCGUACUCGUCAGCGGCCUCGAGUAAAAGCUGCUCCUGCGCGCUCUCGUUCACCCAAACGCAUGCAAAGGGGCACGUCGUUGCGGCUGCGCCGCUACCGCCGCUGCCACUGCCAGCAAGUCCGGAGCCGGCGCCGCCAUCCAUUGCGGAGGCGGGAGGCGUUCUAUGGCUUGCCGCACCGGUAGAAUGGAAUGAAUUUGCCGUAACGUCUGGCACCGUACUGCCCAAGGCAUGGGCAUUUUCCAGCUGGCGCAGCCGUGACCGGGUUGGCAGUAGCGAUGCUGGGGGAGGUGGUGGCGGCGAGCUCUCGCCACUCGGGAUGUGUACGACAGGUAGGCAGGGCAAAAUCGUGCCGGGCGCAACACCGAGCACGAGCAGAGCUACGGGGGAGGGGCAGCUGGUGGCGUGGGACAAAAGCGCUUCGAAGGCGGCCUGUGUGUCGGCCGUUUGCUGUUGGACCUGAUCUGGGUUUUGCUGCUUUUGCCAGUUCCGAAUAAGCUGGUGAUGAUGCCGUUGGACCAGGGGGGAUUUGGGAUACAGAGCAAUCGCAGCCGUGCGGGCUCCACAGAUACCAGCACCAUCUGUGCCGGCCCCGCUAUCAACUGCAGCAGCUGCUGUAAUAGGCCUAGGAAGACCAAUAUCAACAUCAGGGAUGGGUUUGCCUGGAGGUAGGGGGUUGAUUGGCCCAGUAGAGACAUCCCGGGAAUUCUCGUCCCCUGGAGCCCUGGUUUUGGUGAGCCAUCCCUGGCGAUCAGCACUUCCUGCUGUCGCCGAAAGCUGUUGGAAUGGUAGGAUGCGGUCUUCCGAGCCAGCCGUAUCCUGUGAUGGUGAUGUUGUAGAUUGUCCUGCGAGAUUAUCAAGUGCUGCGGCUCCCCCAGAGCAUGCUUGCUGGCUUGCUAUGCCGAUGUCGUUGGCGUAUGUUCUCUCACGCGCAUCAGCCAAAGCUAACUCCAGCUUCGCAACCAAGCUUUGCAAUCGCUCAACAUCCGCAGCUUUUGCAUCAUGAUGUUGAGCUACUUCGGAGCGUUGCCACAAACCCUUGCUCAGUCUUAAUGAAACAACAGCAGGUCCCGCGUUGCCUUGACCAACGGUUGUUUUAUCAACUGUGCGUUUAAUCCUGUCGCUGCGGUGCCGUUUCAGCGCCUGCUUAAUAAGCUGCCAGCUAACUGUAAACUUGUGGCCAAAGCAGCCAACAGGGGAACCCAAUGAUGGGUCCCCAUUCCCAGAAUUAUGCCCUAGUUCCGCCACCGUGGCCGAUGGAAGGCCGUGUGGUAAGGCUGUGUGAGGUGAACGACAAUUUAGUCUUGAAUUAGGUAGUCAGUAUGCCGGAACAUGAUUUGAAAAUUUCGCAUUUAAUUGAAAAUCUCCACGAUCAAAACGUUUGUCGCAAAACAACAUAAACAGCCAGCAGUACAAACCAUAGUACAAACCAAAGUUUAGGACGCUGAUUUACCCGCAAAUAUAAGUUUUGUAAAGAAUUUUUAAGUACUGAUUCAACAUUUCCUGCGUAUUUGCGUUUGGUGUCCAACCCGCUGCGCCCGUCUUGUAUCCCAGCGUGCGUGACGACUGCGCGUAGGGGAUCCUCCGGAGCCAGAAAAGGUGAUUUGGAGCCAUUUCCUGGGUACCGCGAUCAUUCAGCCGUAGAAACCGAUUUGCCGACCUCUAAUCAGGAAACAUGCAUGUGCGAUUUCCACGUGGCUAAAAUCGCCGCCAAGUGGAGGACAACCAGCAGCGCUGCCGUAUCUCGCUUAUGUCUUCAGAAACGUAUACAGCGUGCUAGCAGAAAUAAUUCGGAGCUACCAGCAGAAACGCCUUACUGCGCCCCCCUUCCGGAGUGAUUAUGUCCCAGAGUGGAAGUUGGCUAACGAACUACGGCGAGGUCAGGAACACCAAUUGAGUUAAUUAUUCCUUUUCUUUGUAGCUUAAAUUUUGCUCAAAGCGGGCAUACUUUGGAUGGAAAUUGCGACUGCCGGACAGAGGUCACACAUUUACAUAAUGCACGGGCUACAGAAACUGCAUAGCUAAAGAAACGUUAUUGCUUUAACUAGUUUAGCAAAGAGCUUUACGCGCGGGCACCUCCGACUUCGACUUCGCCGAUCAUGAUGACAGGAUUUCUCGCUUUGUACCCAUCCAAAAGCACCGAAACGCAUAGGAUUGUUGUGGAAUAUAGCACAUGGAAUACAUUGCGUGGUCGACUUUAAGGGCGCGCCUGAUGCCCCGGCCGCGCUUUAUGGGCCUCCAGGAGCCCCAAAACGGAUUGUCUAGGAUCGAUCCAUUGCAGAUAGAUCAUAGGCGCUGGGCUGAUGGUCAUGGAAGUGCUCGGCCGACGGACUGAAGCGGCCUGCGCCGCCGAGCAGAUGGCCAGGGCUGCACCCUGGCUGGACGCGGCCCUCGGAUGCAAGGCGCCCUCCGGCGCAUAGCAGCUGGAUGGCCUUCAGACUGCCGGUCAUGGGAACCCGGGAGGCGUGCUGUUGGUGCGGGGCAAACCAGGGCUGUCGGGUGACCGGCGGAGAUGGAUGGGUGCACCACCAAUUGAUAUAUACAAGGGUUUGGCACCACUGGUAAGGCGCGACCAUUGCCCCCGGGAGAUUCCGGGAUCGAUACCCGUUAGGGUCAAAAGUCCUUCCGAUGGUGGAAGGCAUUGCGCCCCUAGUUGAUGGACGGUGGUGACCUGGGAUAAAGAUAACCUGCGAGCCGACCAGGAACGGAGUUGGGCCGCUGUCGACCCGGCAGAUUCCGUUGGAUGCUGGUGAUGGGUGCGGAACCUGAGCGAUCCACUGAGAAGUUGACUAGGAUGACUGGAUGAGGGUGCCCCGAAAUACCGGGGAAGGCAGGGUUUCGCAGGGUAGCUGCCACGGGCGAAGAUACACCCCCCCUGUUUCACACAUCAUACACAGGGACGAAUCCUAAUCGGGGCGCUCGGCGGUACUCCGCCUGGAGCAAGCAGGUUCAAUUCCUGCCGUCCUGUUCCCUUCAUCAUCCUCCCACAAAGAGUUCCCCGCAAUUCUUGUACAUCACAGCGCACUCCUAGACCGGCUGGAUUUGGGAAAGAGAUCCGGAAGAGCUUGCGGCCCUCCCGCGGCUUACCCUCGGGCGAAGACGACAGAGGACUAGUUGGUAGGAUACGGGGAAACAACAAAAAAGCUUAGAAGGCGCCUGUUAUCUACUGCGUUUGCAUCCCAACCCGUCAAGGUUAUCCACCUCUCUGUGCUGUCACUGACAUAGUGACAGGGCGACGGUGGAUGAAACCGGUACAGUAGCACUAUACCACGUAAGAGCAGUGUAAGAGUACGCUUUAAUUGCAGGAAAGAGAGCCGCUUUGUAGAGUGAAAGAGAGGCGAGAAGUCGCAGGAUUACGGCCUGUUCGUUGGUUUGCAUGAGGCAAAUGGCUAAGCUCACGAGCCUACAUGUUUGCCAUGGAGAGCCAGGAGUGUGAAUUAUGAUUACCGUGGACCCACAGGCCGACCAACCCCCCAAUGGUCCCGCCCCUUGUAAGCCCCGCUUGAGGUCUUGACACACCUAUCCUGGCUCGUGAUGUGCGCGGCGGCAGCCGGGGGAAUCCCCCUCUACUGAACCACGCCUGAAGGCCCCGCCUGUUUUCUCAACAGCCCUCGGACGACGGGCCUGCGCACUGCAGUUCUACUCCUGCCACCCCAAUCGGUGAUGUCGCCCCACCGACCCCCAGCCCCAUGUAGGGACCCCAAGUUGCGCAAACCCAAAAAACCCGUUACAGCGUGUCUUGGGCCCUUCUCCGCCUGGAUUUCCCCAGCCUGGGUCCGCAUGUCCUUUAUUUCAUUGCAGCCGCCAACCACCACAUCCCACAUACAUCGUUCCGCUGGCACCCACCGGUGUUGUGUCCGUGUCAGCCAGCAGUGCCCGUGUCGUCCUCAUGCCUCCGCUUCAAUCGGCAUGCUCACCACCCUCCCACCGGAUCCAAUUAAGCUUUAGUAAAGCCCGCCUGUCCAAUCCGCUGUGGACGCGUCACCUACGCCCCCGUCCGUGCCCGCAGCUAUCUUCUGCAGUUACCUUCUACCAGCAGACCUGCUCCAAUCCGCCAACGACGCAACCUCACGUCCAAAUCAACAACGGGCAACUGGUACCGGUUACCUCCUCACCGACCUUACGACUCCACUACGUGUCCGCAAGCCAACAAGUCUGGCAAAAGCUUCAGAUGUUCUCAGCAGUCACGCCGCUCUACAACUCCAGCCUCGCUUGCAGGUUCCACACCCCCUUCGCCACUAUCACAAGACACGUACGACCCGCUUGUCGCUUCCCCUUGUAAACGCAGCCGCAGACGCCAGCAACCCAUCAGCUUGCCGAACGCCGCCAACUCACCGAUACGAAACCCCCCCCCCGGGGCACUCGCCACCAUGUCCUCAGGCCCAUUCCCCGGUCUCCGCUGGCGUCACAAUCACAUUCCCCUGCUCAGCCCCCUGAAGGGGGGCCCCCACCUUUGUAGCCCCCUUGUCAACCACCUCCACGCCGCCGUCCGGCGCCGCUGCUACCGCGAGCUCAUGACGAAGCAUCGCCGAUAGCACCGCACCCACGCCAUCGUCGCCGCCGCCGUCACUGCGCCACGCGGCGCCAUCGUCGCCGCCGCCGUCACUGCGCCACGCGGCGCCAUCGUCGCCGCCGCCGUCACUGCGCCACGCGGCGCCAUCGUCGCCGCCGCCGUCACUGCGCCACGCGGCGCCAUCGUCGCCGCCGCCGUCACUGCGCCACGCGGCGCCAUCGUCGCCGCCGCCGUCACUGCGCCACGCGGCGCCAUCGUCGCCGCCGCCGUCACUGCGCCACGCGGCGCCAUCGUCGCCGCCGCCGUCACUGCGCCACGCGGCGCCAUCGUCGCCGCCGCCGUCACUGCGCCACGCGGCGCCAUCGUCGCCGCCGCCGUCACUGCGCCACGCGGCGCAAUCGUCGCCGCCGCCGUCACUGCGCCACGCNNNNNNNNNNNNNNNNNNNNNNNNNNNNNNNNNNNNNNNNNNNNNNNNNNNNNNNNNNNNNNNNNNNNNNNNNNNNNNNNNNNNNNNNNNNNNNNNNNNNNNNNNNNNNNNNNNNNNNNNNNNNNNNNNNNNNNNNNNNNNNNNNNNNNNNNNNNNNNNNNNNNNNNNNNNNNNNNNNNNNNNNNNNNNNNNNNNNNNNNNNNNNNNNNNNNNNNNNNNNNNNNNNNNNNNNNNNNNNNNNNNNNNNNNNNNNNNNNNNNNNNNNNNNNNNNNNNNNNNNNNNNNNNNNNNNNNNNNNNNNNNNNNNNNNNNNNNNNNNNNNNNNNNNNNNNNNNNNNNNNNNNNNNNNNNNNNNNNNNNNNNNNNNNNNNNNNNNNNNNNNNNNNNNNNNNNCCGUCCCGUUCACGCCCUCCUUCGAUUUCUUUUUCUUCUUCUUCUCAUGCCGCACCUUGUCCUCCUUCUCCUCCUCCUUCCUCGCCUCCUCAUCCAUCACUUCCUCAUCCGCCUCCGCCGCGGCCGGCGAAGAGCGACCUCCUCCCCCUCUGCCGCCAGCCCGUUUCGCAACCCGGGUCCUGGGAGUCGGUCGCAAGCGGACUCCCGGAUCCCCUUCCCCCUUGCAACCAGCCGCCGUACCACCACCCUCACCGCCGCCCUCCACUUUCCGCGCCUCCGCCAGCUCUGCCGCGGCCUCCUCCGCCACCUCCGCCGCGAAUCGUAGCUCCUGGCGGUGGCUGUCCAGCAAGUGGGCCGCCGCCUCCUCCUCGGUGACCUCUAGGCGGGUGGAGGGAGUUGGAACGCAGAAGGGGGAAAAGACGAACCACACACGAGUGAAGCUGCUGCCAGGGCAGAAGGGGGGAUCGGACCCGGGGGGCGGAUUGGGGGUCUGGAGAGACACACGCGGUGCGAGGGACACGAGCAUCACUCUCGCCCUCGCCCUCAAUCUCACACACACACACACAUACACACACACUCACACACACACUCACACACACACACGCACCUCACACACACGCCCUCAACCUCACACACACACACCUCACACACACGCCCUCAACCUCACACACACACACACCUCACACACACGCCCUCAACCUCUCACACGCACCUCACACACACGCCCUCAACCUCACACACACACACACCUCACACACACGCCUUCAACCUCACACACGCACACGCACCUCACACACACGCCCUCAACCUCACACACACGCCCUCAACCUCACACACACACACACACGCACCUCACACACACGCCCUCAACCUCACACACGCACCUCACACACACGCCCUCAACCUCACACACACACACGUACCUCACACACACGCCCUCAACCUCACACACGCACCUCACACACACGCCCUCAACCUCACACACACACACACGCACCUCACACACACGCCCUCAACCUCACACACACACACGCACCUCACACACACGCCCUCAACCUCACACACGCACCUCACACACGCACCUGCACACACGCACCCUCACACACGCCCUCACCCAGCGGCUCCUGCCGAGCCCCGAUUAGCAGCAGCUCCGUGCCGGGUACGUCCAGCAGGCUCACGUCCUCGGCUCCGACCCAGCUGGUUCCACCGGAGAAGGCGGACCGCUGGGAAGGACUGUACGGCGGAGUACGACCCGCGGUGGGGCGUCCCGGCUCACGGCGCCCAGGGUUCUUAAGGGGGGGGAUUUGGAAGGGGGGGAAAGAGAGAGGAGGGCGGGUGGGAUGGAAUCGGUUAGUGCUAACCUGCACUAACGGUCCAGGGGGGGGCGCCCCCCCCCACACACACACUUGUGCGGACACUGUAACUGUAACUGUAACUGUAAGCUAACGUCAGGGAGGGCCAACUUUCGACAUCCCGGGAGCAUUACCCUGGGGGGGAACACAAGGGGGGAAAGGGGGAGUCCAGUCCCCCCCAGAACCCUACGUUGGACACAGAACGGCGUUGGGGACUACUGCUUGGAUACUACUGGGCAGGUGAUGGGAUGAUGGCGGGAUAGUGCGCUGACGCGAUGGUGGUGUUGGGAUGUGGGUCGCCCCGUAGGAGCGGGGGAGGGGGAAUGCCACCAAGAGGGAGGUACAGCAGGGGGAAUUGACGCCGCGGCGCGGCGGCGGCGGCGGCGGCGGGGCAAAGCGCCGUACCCUGCCGUACCCCACCUUGAUGCUCAGGACAUAGCGGGCACUCCGGGCGAUGUGAAGCUCCUGUUGUACCGGGCCCAGGCCCUCCGAGCCCGCGACACCCUCGACCCGGGGUGCGGGUGCGGGUGCGGGUGCGGGUGCGGGUGCGGGUGCGGGUGCGGGUGCGGGUGCGGGUAGCUGCAGCACGUAGGCGAGCUGCGUGCUGGGCCGCUUACGACUGUGGAGCCUGUGUGAAGCGGCGACAUGGGGGGCGUGGGGGAGUGAGGGAUAUGGAAGGUGUGUAUGUCUGUGUGCGUGUAAGGAGGAGGAGGAGGCGGAGUUGAAGAGGUUGCGGCUGCUGUACAGAGCAGAACAGGUCAGGUCAGGAACGAGGCGAAAGAGUUACAUCGCACAUGCAUACAUACAUGCACACAUACAUAUAAGCAUAUGCAUCACAGGACUGCUACUUGCUCCCGUAAUAGUUACUCUUCUGCCAUCCUUGCCACUUCUCGGCCUGAGGCGCAAAUCAAUAAGACGCAUCAUUAUACACGCAAAAAAGAAUACAUACAUAAAUACAUACAUACAACGCAACGUUACUCUUUUCCCGGCACCUCCGCACUCUUCCCCACCUCCCCCCACCCACCCACCCACCCACCUCCCCCCACCCACCCAUCCACACACACACACACACACGCACCUGAGCAUGAUGCAGUAGGUUCCCCGACCCGCCACUCGCGCCGCGGGCUGUGUCCGCUCCCCCCGGGUCUUCGUGCAGUAGUGCCUGGCAGCCAGGCCCGCAGUCAGCUGACCCACACUGUCCGCCACAGCGUCUGAGUCGGAGUGAGUGCAUGAGGUGGGGGAAGAAAGGAAAAGAAGUGGAAAUGGCAAAGGAGCGAGCGGGGGUUCUAGGAGACGGGAAGGACGACGAAAACGGUAAAAAGAUCGAGUGGAAAGGGCGAGGAAAGAAUGCAGGGAGGGGAGAAGGGUUUGGAGGGAAACCCACGCGUUACAAGUGUUAAAAGAUAUGGUUUUAUGCAAAUAUAACCUGAACACAUGAACAGGACGCAGAAGCAAUUGAUCAUCAAGGCUAGCAGGGCAGAGACGCUUGGCAUGAGGCAUGAGGCCUUCUGACCAUCAUGUACAUUAACACAAACACGACUUCCCCAGGUCGGUAAAAAAGCGCAAACAAACAAAACUUGCCGCUCUUACCCACAAAGCCAAAGAAGCGCUCAUGGCGAUGCGGGUCCGGCAACCGCUUCUUCCCGAUGAUAAUUAAUCGACAUGGAAGCCCCGACGACGGUGGCGGCGACGGUGGCGGCGGGGCUUCACGGGGGGCCCCCCUUGCUUCCUGCCCGCUGGGGCCUCCUCCCUUGGCAGCGGUCUCCUCCGGGGCAGUGGAGGAGGAGGAGGAGGGCUCCUCCUCGCCCUGCGUACCAUCAAUGGAUGCGGCCCCAGCUUGGAUCAUACCCCGCGAACCUCCUUCUCCUCCUUGUCGCUGCUGCUGCUGCUGCUGCUGCUCGGAUGCCUCGUGUACAGAUGUAGCGGUGACGGUGGCUGUAGCAGUAGCUGUGCGGUCGACAGGGGCAGCGGCAGUAGCUGGGUUUUCCUCGUCGUCGUCCUCCUCCUCCCGUCCCUGCCCCUCCUCAUCUUUUCCCCCUUCCUCCCCCUCGCCAAGGCCCGGUUUUCCCUUCUCUUUUGCCUCCUCCUGCUGCUGCUGUUGCUGAACCUCCGCGCGUGAGGGUGGGCCCCGACGUGCAUGUGGCUGCAGGAUGAUGUAGAACCUGGCCACGUCAUCUAAAUCCGCGGGGUUCUCCUGCUGGACCUGACAAGCCCAGUGGGUGUGGGAGAGGAGGGGGGAGGGAGUCUUAUGCCAAAUGCACAAACUCAUGAGGAAGUGGAGGCAGAGGAGGUGGCGGAUUAAAGUGAAGGACACAACACGGUAGUUGUGUCCCUGGGCGGUGGUGGUGACGCUAUGGGGAAUUUGUAAAGAAAUACGCCGGACGCGCAACUGACUUCAGCGGCUGUGCUGAUGGCCACGAGCUCAGGUGUCCGACCCGAACUUUCCCCCCCGGGUAUGAAAGGUAGGUGGUAUGUCAAAGGGCAAGCUAAGACCCCACAACGCCGAAUAGAGACCAGCCGUACACGUACCAGAUCGCUACGUCUCUUCGUGCGAAUGGUGCUAUUGAAAACAAAAAGUGGCUCAGCAGCUUUGCCGUGCGUCGUCGUUGUCGUCGUCGUCGUCGUCGUCGUCGUCACGGCGUUUCGGACCUCCCGAACAAAAAACGAAAAGAAAACAGACACGCAGACAAACGAAAUGACACAGGCAAACAUACGGACAUACAAGGGAAACCACCCACCUCGCCGUAAAGCCCCGUGAGGAACCAAUUUCACCAUCAUAGAGCUUGCACUGCACAUGGGCUUGGAAAGGCCACGCUGCUGCUCACGCGCCCAUGCAACAUCUCUCAAUCCCAAUCGCCAGGUAACUAACACGCACGGCCUUUCAUCCCGCCCUACUUUAGGUCGGUAGAAGAAGUAGAUGUGCCCUUCCUCGAGGGCUCCCGGAGGCAGCGGCGGCCGGUUGGCUCCGGGACCCUGAGCGACACCAGCACCAGCAGCGGCGGCGGCAGCUUCUACCUCCGACGCAGGCACCGCCGCCGUCGUGGUCGCCGUAGUCGCCAACCCCGGGCCCGACGCCUCCGACUCUUCUUCUUCCAGGUCCCACUCGGAUUCCGAUUGAGGGCCUUCGGAGUCGGUUUGGUCUUUGCCGGAGUCUUCUCUACCCGAGUCAGCUUCUUGGUUCUUGGGCUUCUCGUCGGCAGCGGCGGCCUUCUCGGCCUUCCCUCCUGGCUCUGGGGCCUUUCCUGGCUCGUCUUCGGCUGACGUCGGGCUUCGACGAGCAGCACGCUUGUGCUUUGACGGGAUGUGCUUCGGCCGAGUGCCUUGCAUCGCGUCUUUCCUUGCGUGGGUUGCGGUAAUGGGCGGUAGAGGGAAGGAAAAGAUGUGAGAGAGCGGUGCGCGUGUGGACGAGGCUCAGCAGCGCGCUUGACCUGUCACCUUCUUAAAGGGCCGACUGGGCGCCUGUCUGUUUAUUUUUUGCGGCACGCUGGACGCGUCUCUCGUCCUAAGUAUCUUUCAUUAAAAGUUUAGUGAAGUUUAGUAAUUACAUGCCAUGCCAUGCCUGUAGAUUUAUCGGCUUGGGUCAAUGGGGAAUAAUUGGCAGAAGAGUACCGACCCCGCGCCGCAAGGUAGUACCGACCCCUGGGUCAGCCUCAAUCGAUUCCCCGCUGUCGUCCCACUUUUCGUUGCGUGGCUUUCCUCCUCCUCAUAAUUAUAUGAAUGCUGCCUUUUAUACCUUUCUUUUCCCCAUCGACCCACCCACCCACAGGCCUCCUCGAUCUCCACUUCUGCAAAAAGCUGCAUGGGAAAGGGCGCGGCGCCAUCGGAGACAGCGUUGCGGCGUUUAAAGGAGGAGAUAAAGAAUGGGCAGGGGAGAGAAAGAAGGGGGGAGAGGCUCAAUGCCAGUUUCUUUCCACUCCAAAGGCGCUGAACUUCCAACGCUGUCAAGAGGGCGAGAGGGCUCGAGAAGCUGCACUCUGCAAUAGCAACACCAGCAACACCCAAAUCGGGAAAUAACCUUACCAUGCAACCGGAAACCCUGAUAACAACCACCACAUCAACACCAUUAACAAUACAGGAAACAAUGGAACAGCCUAAAUGACAAUUAAGCUGUAGCAAAUGGCAGCAACACGCGAGGAGCGCGAGCACCUUGGAUUCUUAAUCAGGGAACGUUCCUUCCCAGCUCUCCCCUUUCCCCCCUCACAUCGCCACCCCCGUCCCCCCCCCCAAAAUACACGCACACACACACACACAAAUCAUCUUCGACUGUUUCCCCCCUCUCUACAAAUAACCCUCCGAGUAACACUUCUUCACGCACACACACACGGACAGACAGACAGACAAUAUACACAUUACAUCAUUAUCAGCAUCUCAGCAGCACCAGCAUCUUCAUCCUUCAUCUCGUCUCCUCAUCUUCUUCAUGACCUUCAGCCUCAUCGUCAUCAUCACGCCGCCUGCUGCGCCCGCUGCAACGCGGCAGUGAUGGCCGGGGCACCCGCCACACACGCCGCCCACUGAGCCUGAUUCAAGUUGAGGCCUUUAGCACUGGGAGCCAGAUCGCCACCGCCCUUGUCGUAAUAUUCCCGUACACCGACGUACGUCACACCCUUGAACUCGCUCAGCGAUACCCGGCGCCUGUACACCCGGACAGAACAGAACGGGACAGCGACGGGGAGAGGUUCAAGACCUGGCUGAGGACGAGACACGCUGAAGGUUCGGGCUUUCGGGCUCCAUGGUGGCUCAGGUUGGGCGAUAUGAGAAAUUAUCAGGAAGUAUUUCUAGGUGCUCUCCAAGUACAUACAUACAUAUAUACGUACGCACGCUGUUAAAACACAUGCACGUGAUGCGUGAUUGCCUACCGUUCCAAAAUUCCCCUAACCCCUCUACUGCCCCACUUUCCAAACGCCCCUCCGCCUUUCCUGUCGUCUCCCCACCCGGCAUGUCGCCAUUUUGCCUGUCAUUGUACUGCAGCGGUCUGACAGCUGUCGUACACUCACAUUCCACUCAGCUUGAGACAGUACGCUAGAUCUCUCCGCCUGAGUGCCUCGUCCACAGCCCCCAUAUGCUGUUGCAGAGUGCCCCAGUCGGCCGGCGACAGAGCGAUGCCCUUCUUGCCUGCGGGUGAUAGCGCGCGCGUGCGUGUGUGCGUGUAUGAGUGUGUGUGUGUGUGCGCGUGUGUGCGUGUGUGUGCGUGUGUGUGUGUGAGAGAGGGAGACACGACGUGGGAUCAUACGCAUGUCACGACCUUAAUUAUACAUUAUAUACUUGCAUACAUAUGCAUGUACACAUGUACCAAUCUUCGUUAUCAUCAUUACUGUCAUCAACCCAUGACAUCAUCCAUUUACCCAUUUCACGUUAGUACCAGCAGCUAUUACCAGCAGCACUACUGCCACUCACCGGGAAGCAACUCGCCGUUUUUCUGUCCAGUUCGUACGACAUGAGUCGAGCCCGGUAGCGGUGGUGAUGGUCGUGAUCGUGGGAGUGGUGAGGUGGUUGUGGGAGGUGGGAGACCAGUGUGGAGGCGGGUGAGGGAGGAGAGCGAGGAGGACAGCAACAGCACGCGGCGGCUCUCAUCAGUCUAAGCCGGGUAACGGGGAAAGAUAACGCGAGCAAACACAGCACUACAGCCCCCAGCUAUAGCCUGCGCCAGAAGCUUCAUUCAGACCUCACGCAAGGCGGCAAAACUGCCACCAGGCCCACACACAUUACCCCUCUCCCCCCCUCCCCCAACCCACACUCCGCCCCUAAGAAGAAGAUACCGCUCUCCACCCACCCAUCCACCCCGCACACAGCGGCCCCCCCCCCCCCCCCACNNNNNNNNNNNNNNNNNNNNNNNNNNNNNNNNNNNNNNNNNNNNNNNNNNCUCCGACAGCGGCAACCGGGGGUGCGGCCGCGGCCUGCGGCGGAGGCGGCAGCGGCGGCGGCGCAGCCGCCGCCGUCGUCGUCGCAACCGCCUCCUGCGGCGGCGGUGACGGCGGCGGCAGCAGCUCCCCAAGCCCCCCGACGGCGACCGAGAUGUCGGGUGCCGCCGCCAGGAGGGCCUCCGCCUCCGCCAGGCUCAAGUUGACGCCCUUCUUCGCUGAUCGGGUCAAAUGGCAGCAGCCGCGUCGCAGCAGGAGGAGGCGGGGUAAGGAGGGUGAGGAGGAGGGGUACAGAGGCGGCGGCGGUACAGAGUAAUCACCCUAGAAAAGAAGAAGAACAAGAGGGAGGUUUUGGCGCCAAAAGGGCCAUUAGGGCGGGUGUGACGGGAAGUCGACCCGGACAGCAACAACAACAACAACAGCAGCAGCGGCAGCAGUAGCAGCAGUACCCCUCCAAACCCUCCUCCUCCUCAUCAUCUUCAUCCUCAUCAUCACCCCGCCCCCAACCCGGAUGGCCAGGUAACGCACAAGGGUGGAGUUGUCCGUCCUUCUCAUAGUACUCCCGGAGCCCCAGGUAGCAGCUGCCCCUGCGGAAGGCGGGUGAACAGAGGCAGCCGGGAGAUGGGGGGGGAGGAGAGACGAACCACGACACCGCGAGCGAGUGAAGCUGAUGCCAAAAACGGGGUGUGUGUUGGGAGCGCCGAUGUUUGCAGGUAGACGAUGCAACGGGGGAUGUGGUGGUGCGGAAUCGUCGGCCACCAGCGGCGUGUUACGUAGGCCGCGAACUUCUUCUCCCUCUUCUUCUCAAUCCCAUCCCUCCCCUUCCCUUCCUCCCCAUCCCUCCCCUUCCCUUCCUCCCCUCCCCUCCCCUCCCCUCCCCUCCCCUCCCCUCCCCUCCCCUCGCCUGCCCUCCCCAACGCCAUCCCCACCUGAACUCGCUGAUGGCAGCCAGCCGGGUCCGGGACAGCUGACACGCCGGUGCCGCCGCAUUCCCGGCCCGCUGCGCCGCCAGCAGCUGGGGCAGCUCACGAGCCAGCCGCGCCCACUGUCCGGGGUCCAUGGACAGUCCCUUUUGAGAGGGAGCCUCACCGCCCUCACCCUNNNNNNNNNNNNNNNNNNNNNNNNNNNNNNNNNNNNNNNNNNNNNNNNNNGAGGGGGAAAUCAUGCGGCACUGCCACGUCGGAAUACACUCUAAAACACAUCUUACACUAUAUAGAUACACGCCGAUACACUCCUGAUACACACCUGAUCAGACGGAGGAGGCAAACGGGCACUCGCGGACGACCAGAUCCUCCCUGGUAACCGAGUAACCCGGUGGCGAGAAGCGCAAAUUGCUGUCCCCUACACGCGUGUGCGAAACUCUGCUCUCAGCUCCCCUCAUUUCACCCCCUGUACCGCCUAACUUCCCCCCCUCCCUCCCCGACCACUUUCCCUCUCUUCCAUUCUUUCCCACACAGCCCCUGCUCAUUCCCUCACUCUUCUCCCCCGCCCCGCUCCCUCCCUCCUCUACGCCCCCGACACCAUUCCGUACGUGCCUGAUAGAACUCCCGUACAUCCACAUGCAGCUUGCCGGCCCAUUUGCGGACCCGCGCCUUGCGCCGCCCACUCAGGUCCGAGCUGUACAGCACCUCGUCAGUGCUGGUGGUGCCGGUGCCGGAGCGGGAGCGCUUGGCAGCGGCGGUGGCGCCAUCCUCGCCAGCAGGCCGCUUGCGGCCGCGCUUGGCCUUGGCGGCCCUGGGCUCGCCAUCGCUGUCGUACUCCUGAUCGCUGCUGCCGGCCGCGCCGCCUUCGUCGCCGCUGGCAGCUUGAGCCCUGGGCGCCUCCUGGGCAUCGAACUCCUCCAGAAACUUCUCGAUAACGGACUGGGGAGGGGGUUAGCGGAGGAAGGGGAAAAGGGGAAGAAAAUGAGCUGAGCGUGUGGUCUCGGGACACGCACGCGCGUGUGUUACAAGUUACAAGUGUGUGUGCCUCGACGUGUUUUGACGGAGCGGGACGCAGUAGGAUGACUCACAUGGAGCGGAGGCUAGGAGCGGGGAUGGCCACCUGCCCAUGGACCAGACAACUGACAACGAUGGCUCCACACGCGAACCCACCGAAACAUGGCGUUUGUAUUCCGCAAUAGGCUUGCUCAAAGACAACGUGUUUUGGACGUGUGUGAGUACUAUGCGCUCGGUGGUGACGUUCCUGCAGAAUUGGCUUGGCGUGAAGAUGCGGUCAGUUGUACCCAGCACUAAUACAACUCACAUGUCAGCUGUUUUUAAGUAGUCGUUAACCACCUGCAGGUAGACAUAGGAAUGUGAGCUGUCGCAGCCGUCUUGCCGCUUAGGCAGCGAAACCGUUCACCUGCGUAAUCUGCUCUUCUUCCGCAUCAGCCAUUGCCGUUACAUAUAGAUUUGAAGGCAGUUUUGCAGCAACUUCAAAGGUGGAUAAGCGGCGCUGGUCAGUUGCUUCGAAUAGGCUGCGAUAGCGUUGUCUACAGGGCUGAACCGUGUUCCGUGCAAUUUGUUCUUUGGCGGUAAGCAGAAGCAAAUAUGCACGUCUGCUUGUGGUGAAGGCGCGGCUUGCUUGAAUCCGGAAUGUAAACAUUCGCUACGAAACCCGCCGGAACCGUUAUGUAAGCUUGGUGAAGUCCAGGCCACUCCACGCUAACGACGCAUGCUACACGCUUUAACAAUACCUUGUCAUAGCUUGUCACAACUAUCGGCAUCUUAAUCGGGCCUUACAAAUCCAGAGAGGCGUACUGUCCACGGCACAGCACGCAUCUCGAAUGCAAAGUGGCUAGAGUGGCCAAGGUUUAGGCAUUGCCAUAGCAUCUGACCAAGGCAAAUCCAUCACAGCGUCCCUUCCUGGUCCUAGGUGCUGAUUGGGUGGUGCUGUUAUACCGCCCGAGGGCCCAUGCAUGUCCUAUCCUACAAAACCAGUCUGAACAAAAUAUGCAGCCGCACCUGAUAUCUAAACCUCCAAGAUCAGAAGGACCUCCGAACUAAGCAAAGGCGUCCAUGUAAAGCUAGGGAAACGCACGAACAGCGUCGCACGGCGUUGAAGCAACCGCUGUCCCAAGAUUGACUGAAAAGAGGGUCUCUGCCAGGGCCUCGAUUCACCAGUUAUCAAGCGGCGCAUUCCACAACACACACCCACACGCGCGCAGGGCCCUAACCACAAUCCUUAGCUUCAGUGCUACAAGAAAAUUUUAUUUUCAAGUUACCUUUUCUUACUGUCGCCAAUUUUUGCAAGUUCCAUAUUAUUAUUUCCGCUCACCGCAAGACCCCCCAGUGCUCUUCUGCCGCCUCGUGGUUCCUCGGUCCAUCUGGGGGCUCGCUCCCCCACGAGGGAGCGGGAAGGGAGUUCUCCAAUCCAGGACUCCUUUUUCUGCCCUUCGCCCCACUUGCCUUCUCCCAUGCUGCCGACUUUGAACUACGUCUUGUCACAUAUCUCGACGACUCGUUUCGGCACGCCAAGCAAGGGACAUCUUUCUUUCCUUACAUACACCUUACACGUACAGUACUCUACAGUACUCGUAAAUAAAGGCCGGAUCUUGAGGCCCAAUAUUAAUGCCUGCAAAACAAAAUCCAAAGGAGACACAAUAACGAAGACAUUUUGGAGCACGACGGGCAUUUUGCGCACGUCCAUAAUAUAUCCUCCCCCCCGCAGGCGGCGUUUUGUCGCGUCAGGUCGCCCGCGUGGCCUUCCUCCAAAUAAAGCACCUUGCGUUUCAACCCGACCAGUCCGGCAGCCCAGCAGAAAGCACCAGGCACAAGCAAACAGCUGAAUAAGGGCGAAAACAACCGUCACGAAAACAACACGGGCCAUCAUCAUACCACCCCCGUCGCCACGUGGCACACGGCUGCGGUGGAAACGGAAACCCGUGCAUGUAUGUGUGCAUGCAUGUGUGUGUGUGUGUGUGUGUGUGCAGCACACCACACCACACCCCACCGCACAACGCGUCAUAAACCCCAUCAGACCAGACGACACCCUUAAGAGACGCUUACGGAUCUGCCGCCUGCUGAGUAUAAGUUUCGGAGCAGCUCAGGUUGUAGGCCUAGGCAUACGAUACGGACGCAUCACAUACAUACAUACAUACAUACACACGCACGACACGGCACGCACUCUGGCACAGUGAGAAAUGACGUAAUGCGUAGCUAUUAUGGGUGAAGAAGCGCAUGUAUAUCGUCGAAAGGACAGGGCACUCAGUCACAUGUCUUGGCAUACCACCACCACCACCACCACCGUAACCUCCGUUCUAGGGGAAACGCGCUCUCCUUGCUCUGAGGCUGGAAAGAAAGAAUAAGAGAUUGAGAGUCACACCUCCAUCAGGGUCCACUCACAGGGUCGAACAAAAGCAGAAGCAGCAGCACCAGCACCAGCAUCAGUAGCAGCAAACGCGGCAAAGACCGACCACCCGGUGCAUCGGAUUUUCCUUCGUGUGCGCGGCACAAAACAUAAAGCGCACACGCACACAACACGCGCACAAUACACACGCACACGCACUAAAAAGACAUUGUCACGUCGGGUAAGAGGGGAAAUCAUUCAGAGCAGAGGAGACACAGCGAUAAUCAUAAAUAUAUUGGCGGGUGUAGCUAAUUUCACAACCCCACAAGGACACGGUGCGCACAAAAAGAAGUCUAAAGGGCCAAGAGGACGCGCACUGAAAUGGCAAAUAGGCAUCAAGCAAAAAAAACACCGAGCAAACAACCAACCGCAAGUUUCCAGGAAAUCUAAUUUUUUAAAGACGGGGGAGCGAAUGCCGCCACCCGAACCGUCCAAACCGUCCAUCCGUCGUUCACAGGCGCAGGCAGCAGCAGAACAUGCUCCUAGUAGGUGGCGGCGCGCGAGCAUAUGUGUGUCCUCGUUAUUAGCCUCCUCCAUUGGGAUAUUACGGACCGACUUCAAGCUGCCUAUGUAUUUCCCUCGUACCAUUCGACCGCACAACACCCGUCGAAUGAGCGAGUCAUCAUCACACAGGUGAACCAAUAUGGUGCGCCGCACAAAUUAGAGAACACCCACACCACUCAGGAAUCCGCACCACCACCACACACCAGCCAUGCAAAGACACCUGCUGGCCUCUGGUACCUCUUCUUAUAGCCGCAUACAUACAUACAUACGUACAUACAUAUAUACAUAUAUACGUACAUACAUACAUAUAUACAUAUAUACAUAUAUACAUACAUAUAUACAUAUAUACAUAUAUACGUACAUACAUAUAUACAUAUAUACGUACGUAUGCACACACGCACCACAGCAGCCGCCACCACUACCAUCAGCACAUCCAUCCAUCACUAACCACAUCCCAUGACGCAUGAUGGCGAGGAACUCUUUCGUUCGGUAGUCCAGAACCGGCCAGAACCAAUAUGUGUGUGUUUUGGGGGGAGGGGAGAGGGGAGGAAAGACGAACCACGAGCGAGUGAAGGUGAUGCCAAGGAUGCCAAAGACGGAUGCGCCAGAAGGGGAGGGGAGGGAAAGGGAGCAGCCGUUUUGUCGCGUUCCCCCGCCUCAACCGUCCCGCCGCAUCCAAUCCAAAAGGCCCUCUAGCGUCACGCGCUAACUGCCAACCGCCAACCGACAUAUGUGCGUGCCCAUAGUGCACCUUCCGCUCACACACGACCAGCGAGGCGAGACGCGACCGGACGUCCGGGCAGAUAUUGUCUAGUAAGCUUCUCCCACCCCGGGCACUUCUGACUGCAAUUCAAUCCUUGCGCAGAAGGCAAAACACGCAGGACUGCGUGGCAACCUGUUGUCUACUGCUACUACAACAGCAACAGCAGCAGCCGCAGUAGCAGCAGUAGCGGCAACAGCAGCAGUAGCAACCGCAGUAGCAGCAGUGGCAACACUCUGGACAUCUUCAUCCCCCAGCGCUGGGCAGCUUCAAACACUCCGCCGCCGCCGCGACCCCACGGACUCCCCUCCCCCCACUCCCAUCCGCAGCACUGCCCUUCCAGUCACAUUCCUCCUCGUCACUGACGACAGCCCGCCCACCACCCGCAAAACCCAUCAAGUCCCAAAACCCCAACUCACUCAGCCGCGCCAUAGCAAAGCCAAGCCCAGCUAAAGCCGCCGGAAGGACUGGAGAGCCGCACACACCAGUUUUCCCGCUCGCCAAAACCACCGACCCAAACCCCCCCUUAUACUCAGAGAAGCGAAAGCUGCUCUGUUCCACAGACCCAAAUAAUAUUAUUGCAGCAGCAGCAGCAGCAGCAGCAAAUGGAAACCACCACACCCGGCGAGGGAUGAUGACCAAGUCGCUGAGAGGUGUGGGCGUUGCAGGCGUUCACCCCGCGGGGGAAGAAACGAUGAUGCGUGUGUGUUUCAGACCCUACCAACCGCGCAGGAUGGAGGGGCCCUCCCAGCCCCCAAAUAUUUUAAACGCCGCAAUGGCGUCGCAGGGGAUAAGGCACACAGGCGUGUUAGCCGCACAAAGCACAUCAACGGCAUUAAUGCAAAAAGGACACUCGCCACAGGCCUCUCUAUGUGCCCUCUCCAAAGCCGCGAUACAUACAUACAUACAUACACACGCACCCGCGCGGCCAAGAUCUCAUCAACAUAGAUCUCAUCUUGGCAGAUGCUUUCCUCCCGCACACAAACACAAAAACAUGUCCGACGGUGCGCACUUUCCCGCCUUCCUUUUCCAGCUUCCCUUUUUUCGAACCCCUAGAAACACGGGGUCAUCCUCUCCGCCGCUUCUAGCUCCUCCUCUCCAAAGCCACACAUCCUCCGACACCUCACCUCGCGUCACCGCACCUCACAUCACAUCUCGGGGUUCGUUCGGCACCACCACUACUCCCUCUUCCCUCCGCAGCCAGCCACUCGCCCGGCAGUGAGACAUAUCCAGAAACACCCGACACAGCACGCUGCGCAAAGUAGAGUCUUAAACAGAGAGCCCCUCUCCAUCAUCGCCAUCACCAUAAUUCAUGAUCAUCAAUCGACAUCGGCAGCAGCCCCUCCCUCCUCCGCCUUCACAACGUAACACCAAAUACACCACAGCCACAAUCACCAAACCCAAUGUUUCCUUAACGCACCCGAAAUGCGACACACAGACAGAAAUAGAGACAGACAGGCACAGACACGCAGACAGACACACACGCACAUCCUCUACUUUAUCACCAAGAAACGGUCACCAUGAGAAUCAUGUGUCGUUGAUGUGCUAUGUCGGACUGAAUGAUGAGGCGAUAAGACUGGCCGAUUCACAAACAUACAGACCCGGGAGAAAAAGUAUAAAAAUGCGACCACACGUUCGCUUAAUAGCGUCUGACUGACUGAUGCGGCACUGGCGCCCAAGUCCAUGGUGGCUGCGCCGCCUCGACGAUACACACACGUUUCUCCCCCCCCCCGCCGCCCUUCCCGCCGCCCUCCCUCCGCAUUCCCGCCGCAUUCCCGCCGCCCUGCACUGUCUUAUACACUACCACGCACAAGAAUAAUACCCAAAUCAUGGGAUAUUUGCGGACUUACUUCUGAAUCGUCAUCGGCCCGUAGCUAUCACCCGGGCGGCCAAGGGCGGCCAAGACAGAGGUUAUCCAUGCCUGGCAGCGACGUUUGGACGGACAAACGGAUGGACGGACGCACGGGACGCAGAAUGACCACCUGAGCAAAGCAAGGGAGAUGCUGACAACCCACCCACCCACCCAUACGCGCACAUGCACGUGCCCAAGCACCCAUCCGAGCUUGCGCGCAACCUCCCUGACCUCCGUACUCCUCCUCCUCCUCCCCCCCAGCAGGGAGCUGCCGCAAUACACGCUCUCCCGACCGCUGCCAAUAGCCAGUAGAGCAAGCGCCAUAUCUUCACUUUGCCACACACGCACACGCACAUGCAUACACACACGCAAUGCCGCACAUACAUACCUACAUACAUACCUUCCACACUGGCACACACGACUCACGCCCCGGGUAGCUGCUGCAACCCCAGGGAGAUGAAAUGUCUUGUUGCGCCGCCCUUGCCACCACCACCUCACACCGCACUUCACACCUCACCUCCUCUCACCCUACCCCAAACCAUACGGGUCCUCCCUCGGGAGACGCCAAGAAGCACAGCGACAUCCCUCCUUCCUCCCGUCCUCAACGGCAGCCUCCCAUCCGUCCCGCCAGCAAUAGCAACCUCACCACCCCUCCCUCGCCCCUCCAUAUCCCCCUCGAAACUGGCCCCUGGCCUGCUUGCCUGCCUGCCUGCCUGCAUACACCUCUACCUGCCUGCCUGCUCUCUCCACUAUGCGAUACGUGAAAAGCUGAGUGAUCAGAUCAAAUCAAAUCAGAUCAUCUCAGACCACCAGACUAGACAAGACAAGACCAACCUGGAGCUCAAGACACCAAGCCAUUUCAUGCAAGCCAGUCAGCCAGCCAAAAAAGCCAGCCAGCAGCCAUAUGAGCCCCAUAUAUCUUCUUUAUGAGCCAUGAAUCACGUGCUCCGCGUCCCGUUCUGCCUCAUCCAUGGCCUUUCCGUUCCCGUCCGCGAGCUGCUGCCGCAGCACGCUGCCCCCACGCAACUCCCGAUUGAGCUGCUGCGGUAUGUAUGUCUGGCUGAUCCGAGCGGAGCCGUUGCCGCCCCCGCCCACCUCACUGAUGCGAGCAGCCAGCUCCAUCGCGCGCGCCAUCUCCCGCACGCCCCGGGUGUCCCAGUUGACGUGGAAGCGGUGCUUGUACUCCUUGCGGUUCUUGAUAAGACCUGCGCACCAUCAUCAUCAACAUCGUUAGCCCCAUCAUCAUGAUCAUCAUCAUCAUUAGCCCCAUCAUCAUCGCCAUCAUUAACCUCAUCAACAUCAACAUUAGCCCCCAUCAUCAUCAUCAUCAUCAUCCCCGCCAUCGCCUCUCCCGUCAAAAUUCUCCCCCAUUUUCCACACGGACAACCCCACCCACCCACACCCACACGCCCCGNUCGCACCCCCANNNNNNNNNNNNNNNNNNNNNNNNNNNNNNNNNNNNNNNNNNNNNNNNNNNNNNNNNNNNNNNNNNNNNNNNNNNNNNNNNNNNNNNNNNNNNNNNNNNNNNNNNNNNNNNNNNNNNNNNNNNNNNNNNNNNNNNNNNNNNNNNNNNNNNNNNNNNNNNNNNNNNNNNNNNNNNNNNNNNNNNNNNNNNNNNNNNNNNNNNNNNNNNNNNNNNNNNNNNNNNNNNNNNNNNNNNNNNNNNNNNNNNNNNNNNNUACCUCCGUCGAAUGCGACACCUGAUAGCCCCGGUCCGUGAGGACGUCGAUCAGCAUCUGCGCUGCGCGCGGGUGCUCCAGAAACAUGCGGUGCUCGGUGGCGUACUCGGCUCGGCCGGCCAGACCGCACUCGUGAAUGAGCGGCAUGAUCUCCGAGGUGAUGAGAUCAAUGACCUUCUGGAAGAGAUCCGGGUAACGCUCGCUGUGGUUGUCCAGCCGCAUGACCAGCUGCUGGCGCGCGUGUUGGGACACGUCACGCGCCAGCGGCAGGUGGCGAAUGGACGCGUACGUCUCGUAGCUGAGGUCCAGGGAGGACUGGUACCUGCGUGAGCGUGAUGUGCGGGGAGUGAGAGGCAACAACAGUGGUGGGUGGGUGUGUAGUGGUGGUUGGAUAGUUCAGCAGUAGCACAAAGAGCAGGGGGAAAGGUGGGGCGGGAAGGGGGGGCGGGAAGGGGGAUAAGGGAGGAUGGUGGGAGUGAGAAGACACACACACAACCCACAGCUCAAAGAGCACUUCUUGACCUCCCCAGCACUACUCCAGCGCGUAGANNNNNNNNNNNNNNNNNNNNNNNNNNNNNNNNNNNNNNNNNNNNNNNNNNNNNNNNNNNNNNNNNNNNNNNNNNNNNNNNNNNNNCCGGCAGCCACUUCCCUGACUUUGCAGGGCAGGGCAUCAAUCAAUCACCGCCCUACACCGGAUCAAUCCCUCCACCCACCACCUCCACCCCCCCCCAACUACCACUACCCCCACCCCACCCUCACCCCCACCCCGACCUGAGCUCCGUAGUGAUGGCCUCCUGGGUCUCCGCCAACGUCCCCAUGGCGUCAAUCAAGUGGAAGGGGAAGAACUGCUUCAACCGCAACACGGCACUGUGGUGCUGGCGGAAGAUGGCGUAGCGCUUCUUGGCCUUCUCAAUGCUGAGAUCCGUGGCGCGCUGCUCCCUGCGCGCCACGGACACAACAAGUUAUAAAGAUUCAUAAAUUUCCUAAAGACAGAUUUUUGUUGCCAGAGAAUGCUUUGCGAGGUAAGAGUAAUAAAGAUACCCUAAGCCCAGUACCUAGUAAAAUCCAAACAAUAAGUUUUUCUUGGAAAGAGUUACAAGCUUGAUAAAGUUGAUCAGCUUCUGCUUUUUGACACAGAGCGCAGCGAUCUCCAUCAGCGGUUUCGCAGCGAUUCCCAUCAGCGCUUCCCUAGACAGCUGAAAGCUCAACAACCAUAUAAGCACUCCAACCAAGGACCUGACCUGACCUGGCCCAACGCAACGCAACGCAACGCAGGUACAGACAGGCAUACGGACAGACAGACAGACAGACAGAGACGCACCACAGUUGGCCUGCUCCGGCAUCCAAAACGCGCUUGUUGUGUACGGACGCCAGCUUGGCGCGUUCCAACUGACGCAUGAUGGACGUGUCCUCGUCAACGUAAAGCAUCACCACCUUGAACAGCGGCCGAGGAAACUGGCUGCGGUGCGUCGUGUUGGCAAAAAUGCCAUGCAGCUCGUCCAGCUUGUCGUACAACAGCUUCAAAAAAUCCACCUGGGGGCGGCGCGGCCGCGGCCACAACAAAACCGAGCGAGAGCAGUAUUAGCAACCGCAUCAGCACCGGAGGCAGUAGCGUAGCAACAGCAGCAAAAGCACACAUGCGAUGCUCGAAGUCUUGAUGAUGAUGAUUAGGGGGACAGCUGUGUUAUUAAAGGCUCCUAGCACUACUAGCCAUGUAGCAGCAAAACGGAAAUGGGUCUCGUACUGGUCCUCGUAAUCUCACGAGAACGAGGAAGCUCCGAAACCUACCGUUAUCGCUUUCUUUUCAUGCUGCCCAAAAUUGCAAUAUACCGCACGUCCGCAGCUGCCCGCCAGUGACCCAUAUCGCCUGUUUCCCCACCCCGCCCUGGCUCCAUGCUAGCGAAGAGUAGGGUCCAGUCCCGGGGCGUCGCCAUAGCGGCCCUCCUUUCUCGCUUUCGGUUUUUUUACAGGGGGAGAUGUAUCACGGAAGCGUUUUCAAGGCCAUCCAUCCAUCUGUGAAUUGGGUUGCUGGCGUGCUACCUACCUGCAUGGCGGUUCGGGGGAAGCCGUCCACCAGCACACCACACUCCGGCAAUUGACAGCUCUGGACAAGCAACGCCUCCAACACAACGUCCCCGACCAUGCUGUCGGGGAUAAGUUCUCCGCGCUCCAUUAAUGCGCGUGUGCUUUCAUUCGUUUGCUGCGGCGGGCACAAGGGAGGGGCUUGAGCAUAAGGCGGCCUCCUGGCCGUUCUCAAACACCCGCGGCCUCGCAGAUUGUGAAAUUGCUCACCAGCAAGGACGAGAGGUUUACACUGUGGUCCAGGCCGCGUGUUUUCAAGAUAUGCUGUGUGUUAGCGCCCUGUAGGAGAAAAUUUUGGUUCGUUAAAAGAAGAGAGGAUGGAACGGCUCGAAAUGCCGAGACAUGGCCUUGGAACCGGCACUCUACCUUGCCAGCUCCUGGCGCUCCGUUCAGCCAGACCACUUCGCGUGGAACGUUAACCGACUGUAACGGGAUAAAUCAGAAGCGUGUAAAGUCUCCCCGGCCGUGGACUCGAAACCGUAGCAACUCGCGCAGCGAAUGGAAAGAGCUGCCGUGAGGCUUGCUCGCACCUUCAAGCGAAAUUUCUCUUCAAAGCGACGCCAACAGGCUUCAAAGGUAACCUGGGCAUCCAUCCUCACGUCCGCAUCGCUGUGAACCUUGCUCUCCAUUAAGGCAACGGCCGUAUUUGUCUGAGGAGUUCCAAGGUCAACAGCGGUGACUGUUUGGCAACGUGUCUCCCCGAGCCAUCGACAGAAGCGCCGCUGCUCGCAGUUGGAAGCCAGGUUCAACGAGGCCAGCCUUCCCAGCCGCUGCGAAGAAGGCCCGGGGCCGGCAGCCGGCUGUGCAGAGCUCACGGACUCCAUAGGUCGCUCAAGCGCCGUAAAAUUGAUCCACAAACUCUGGGCCGCCAAGCGAGACAGCUGUGUGACCGGCGCGGCCAUGCUUAAGAGUGGACUACAGGAGAGCAACAUGGCUAAUGGCUACUCAAUCUAAGGACGGCUUCACUGUUCACAACUCCUCUGACCGCAAUGCAGUGGACCGUCGCCUUGACAGCGGUCGCUACAAACGUUAGAUAAGGAAUGCCUAAUUAGAAAACGAAUUGAGGAAUAAUACUAAGGUUAUAUCUAAUGUAUUGUAUUACUGAAAUGACGGCAUACGUGCCCAAUGCAACGUCAAAUUGGAAGAAGUGGGGCCCAACUGUGCGAAGGCCGAAUGAGGUCGUAGCCAACGGCAGUUGUGCAAACAAAGAGCAUUUAUGAAGUUGCCCGGAUGUGACCUAUAACGGGCAUAUUCAAGGCCGAAACGUGUUCGCGCUUAAGUCGGCAACAAGGUGAACGGCGACACGUGCACGAGAAGACAUGACUACGAGGAACAUUCCAUUUUUUUACCUAGCUUCAAAACCUCGUACCAAAUAACCUCCCUAACAUUACAAGGACUCUUGCUGGGUUUGUUGACUAUUCGGCUUUACGCCUCUUUCUUCAGCUAUGGCAGCACCCAUUACCUGGCAAACGUUCUACCCUGUCGAUCGGGUAUAAAAUUGACCUGGAGUACCAUGCUGUAAGGCACGAAAAUGGUGCUUACUGGUGUUUGUACGGCGGAGCGUUUUUCUCAACAGUUCUUGCUUCUCGCCCUUCGUAAGGAAAACGCACGGAUCAAAACUUUUCGCCCUCAUCAUCCCUGCAUAUUCAUAUUGCUAUCGCCUCGCCCUUGGGAACUUAUAGGACAUGGAAGCUACAAUCGUUCCUUUCCAUAAGUCCACUCAUCCACAGCGUUCAUCAUUCCUACAUGAUCACGUGUAACCAAGUAAUAAACUCGUGCCAAUACCUUGCACGUCGCCUCCAGAGCACGCGGUCUGCGACAGGUUCAGCGCGCUCCCACACAUCUGCGGCCUGCGGUCAAUAAAAUCCGGACGUCAUGGGAGCCGGUGCUUCUUCGAAAGCGCCUCCAAGAUACAAAUGGGACCAGGUAGCCCAAACAGCCGCGGCGUUCACCGAGCUGCGCCCGCCAGCUUCCAACACAUAGCCUUCCCGACUCUCCACGCCUCCUGCUUGCGAAACUUUGAAACCCCACACGUUUCCCCCAUGGGGGAAGGAGCACUCCUCUUCGCGCCUCUGGCACUAAGCGCGAAACCGUCGUACAAAAUCAACAGCCCGUGUGCUUACAAUCCCUAGUAGGAGUUCCCCUCAUUCACUAUCUCCAUCAUCAACCAGCGCCACCACACCUCCAGUGGCCAGCUCCCUCUAGCUGCCGCGUGCCGUUGCCGCUGUGUAUGGAACCGAACCUGCAAACCCCCCUUAUCCCCCGCACCUCCCCCCCCGGGCCCCUUUACCGUAAAGGACACCACGUUACGGGGGCCCUGGACGUUUAUCUUCAAGGAGAAGGUUCAGUGCGCCUGUGAAGGUGGGUGGAUGUGUGGGCGGAUGCCGCCACCGCCAGCACCACCGCCACCGUCAGGUUCAGGGCCCCCUACCCACCCCACCCCAACCCACCCCCUAACCCCUGCCCCAACCCAACGGCCCCAUCCCCUCUCCACACCCUCCUCGUUAUAGCUCUGAGACCCAAGCCGCGAAAGCGACCAGCCGUCCUCCUUCCCCUUCUCUAUCUGAUAUUUUCUUGUUGAGAUUAGGAAAAAAGGCCUCCCCGCCUCCCCUCCACAUACAUACAUACAUACAUACAUACAUACAUACAUACAUACAUGCACUUGCGUCACGUCGGCGCCCCCACCCCGGCUCAGGCAGCAAGUGGUGUACCCGGGAAAACCCCGCUCGCCAGAAGACGCCCAACGCCCUUCCGGGACUUCACUGCAGCUGGGUUGGGGACACGGUUUUGGCCAUGGCACGCCCUUGGCAGUCCCACGUGGUGUCGUACAAGCUCGUCGAGGCGUUUCAACAGGCCAACAUUGGCAUGAUAUUGAACCUGCAGGUGCGAAAUAGAUGUGCAUAUAUGAAAUAGGGCCGGGGAGGAAGUGACAUAGGAAAUGAUGAUGAUGAUGAUGAUGAUGAUGAUGAUGAUGAUGAUGAUGAUGAUGAUGAUGAUGAUGAUGAUGAUGAUGAUGAUGAUGAUGAUGGAAACAUAUCCUCAUAUUUAAAUUGUUAGGAAGGUUGUAUGUGUGAGGGGAAAUGAGGGAGAUGGGUUUGUGUGGUUGAUGAGCCGGACCUGCCUGCGUGUCCGGUGCUAGGGGGGGCGUCGCGGCGUCUGAACGAAGAGGACGGGACAUUUUAAGGGAAUAACAUAAAUGCAAAUUAUUAUUUUAAAACUUUAAAGUUUUGUAAAGUUUUAAAUAAUAAUUUCUCAAUGAAAUAAUUGAGAUAAAUGCAACUUAUUAUUUUAAAACUUAGCACUUUUUUUAUUUAAUUAAUGAAAAUGUAAAAGUAAAAUAAUGUAAGCGCGUUGGUUAAGCUGUUGAAUGUUGAUGGUCAUGAUAAUUUAAUUCCACAGGAAGUCGGCGAGCACGCCAGCUGCGGCCCCGGUAACCUGGCCCACACGGGCUUCACGUACGACCCGGAGACCUUCAUGGCCGGGGGAGUGGGGUACUACAACUUUGCUUGGCGGGACAUGGGUGUGCCCUCCCUGGACAGAAUGAUGGACAUCGUACAGGUGCGGGACGUGUGUGGGGAGGACGGGAAAAAAAGAGGAAGAGGAGUUGCAGGGGAGCUGCGGGUUGGGCUUGGGGGGGGGGGGGUAAAAGGGAGCUGGGGCAACGGGGGGGAGGGGGAGCUCAAGAUGAAGGCCACUGCCUCUAGCUACGGCAAUACACACAAACUGAGUAGGGAUUUAGACUCAGUACGGCGGGAGUACUGUGUACCCGUGUCUCUUCUAUGUGUUUCUAUGUGUGUGGAUGUAUGUUUGUAUGUUUCGGCUUUUUUAUUGUUCUCCAAAAAAAUUUAAAAGGAGGAAACCUCUUUACCUUCCCCUGCCUCCCCCUCAAUUUCCCCCUAACCCCCUACCCCACCCCCGUGACAAGGUGAUGGAUUACGUAACCCGAGUGGAAGGCCGUAAGAUUGCCGUACAUUGCCACGCGGGUUUGGGCCGUACCGGCCUCGCCAUCGCCUGCUUCUUCGUCUUUGCGGGCAUGUACGACACUCCCGAGGCGGCCAUUGCAGCUGUACGGAAGAACCGUCCCGGCGCCGUACAGACCAGUCGACAAGUCGCUUUUGUCACGAUCUUUGCAAAGUACCUUCAACACCUUCGGUGCGUUUAUCCGCUACCCAAACCCAAACAGCACUCCCAAACCCAACAAACCCAGUCACCCCUGUCAAGGCUAAAGCAAGGCCAACAGCAACAGCAGCAGCAGAAGCAGCAGCCGCCUCAUAGCGCAAGUGUCGCUGACUUUGCCGCCGCCGCCGCUGGCGGCGGCGGCGGCGGCGGCGGCGAUACAUUGGCGACUCGUUCUGCUCCCCUACUGGGAGCGCUGCCGCAGGAGGGCCUUAUGGAGAGCCGUGAAACGGCCGCCGCCGUGGUGGGGGUGUAUGCGUCGGGACUAACAGUCACCGUGCCACUGCAGGUGUGUCUGUCUGUCUGCCUGACUGUCUGUCUGUCUGUCUAUCUGUCUGCUCACUUCACCUGCUUCCACAUCUCCCCCCCCCGGUCCACUUCCAACCCCCAACCUCGCACCCGUACCCGCACCCCCCCCCAACGCACCCGCACCCGCAACCCCCCCCCCACACACACACUCUCUCUCUUCACCCCCAGGCUGGGGGGGAUGGCGGCGAGGCGGCUGACGGCGCUCUCACUGAGGAUGACCUGGGGCUCAGUCAGCAACUGCCCUGGAACGGCGCCUUCCAGAUAGAGCCCCGACACGCAGCCGCCUUCCGGCCCCGCCCGCCCCGCUCGUACACGGAGGCACUCAGUCGCCAAGCUAGGGCACUUCACGGACCGGAGCGACGGGCGUAUCUGCGACUACACAAGGUGCGUGCAUGUGUCGGUAUGUAUGUAUGUAUGUAUGUAUGUGGGUAUGUAUGUAUGUAUGACGUUGAUUACGCUGUGGGCUGAAAAGCCGGGGGCCCAGGGCCGAAGCACAGCGGGGGGGGCGGGUGCAUACGGCUGGUUAGUCUCAUGCACUCCGCCCCCGGGUCAGGCCGCACGGGAAACGACGGCCGGCACGCAACAGCGCUUGUUUGGCGCUCCAACUAGACGGGAUCUAUGCCCGCUGGUCUCCUAACAUAAACGAAGUCGCAACUGGGGGGCUCUUCCUGCCGACCGAACGAACCGAGCAUCUCAGAGAGCUCGCAACCAGGACAUGGCGACCGGGAGCCCGACGAGUCAUCCCGGGCUGGGGAGGUCACCAAGCUCAAAAAUCCGCACGCAAAAAAGAGCGCAAAGAGCUCACACCACAAGACGCCAAACAGCCUCCUGAGUCUACUACCCUCCUCAGCCUCUCCCUCCCUGGGCUAGUCCAGGGGAGAUAGCAGCCGUCGGGGGGAUAACACCGCACAAGUCCGCGCCCUUCCACAGCACUGGGUCUAACUUGAAAAGGACUCAAACGGGAAGACCCUGCGGCAACGCCGGGCGAUCAAGCCUCCGGAAACCACAGGGGGGGAGGGUAGCCAGGGGGGAGGGAGGCGAAAGGGGAGGAGUAUUUAAAAGAUACCGGCCAACAGCACCUGACACGCAUUUCCUCCUCCUCCUCGGCCCCAACCCCUCAAUUUACAUCCUCUAAAAGGUGAAAGGCAAAAGGGGGCUGGGUAAAUGGAAAAUGGAAUUCCCAGAAUUGUUCUGGCCGAUAUAAUAUAAUGUAUAUAAUAUCAACACAGGCCCCAGGACAGCGAGACAGCCGUUUUCAUCACCGGCGCACCCCCGUGUGUGUGUGUGUGGACGUGCGGACGUGCGCGGCACUAUUCGGAGGCUGUGCCCCUGUCGGGGGGUCAGGUUGGAUUGCCAGAACUGGGCAGCACGGCGUGGGGCGUGGGGCGUCCUCUUAAAACCUCCCCCCCCCCCGACGUGUUUCGCUCGCACGCUCCGAGACCGGAGACCUUUCCCCCGCUCCCCCGCAGCCCUUCCCCCCCUUCACACCCCGUUCCUCAUCCCCCUUUGGUGCCCCCCGGCGCAUUGUCGAACCCCCCGGCCUGCAGGUGGUCAAGGAAACUGUAUUCGCCAUCAUAGCCGCCGCGCAGGCCUUUCAGCCGCACACACUCAGCCGCCAUUCCGUCUCGUGUCGCAGUCAGCAGAACUCCCUACCCGCCAUUUCGGAGGAGGGGGGAAGGAAGGGGGACGCGUUGCAGAAGUCGAAAUCGCGAACAGGCGGCGGAGGCGGUGGCGUCGAUGAGGGCUCUCCAAAAGCCUCGCCGCUGCCGCCGACCUUUGCGCACCUCCUGUCGUACUUGAUAAACCAUCACGGGCACAACCACGUGGACUCGGACGCGCUGGUUCCGUUGAUGGCACAUAAGGCCUAUGCGGCGGCGGUUGGGAUGCAGGUACGGCACGGUACGGAUGACGGGAAAGGUUGCGGGGUAGUUCUGCGAGGUUUGUGUUUGUGUGUGCUGUGUGAUGUAUGUAUGUAUGUAUGUAUGUAUGUAUGUAUGUAUGUAUGUAUGUAUGUAUGUAUGUAUGUAUGUAUGUAUGUAUGUAUGUAUGUAUGUAUGUAUGUAUGUAUGUAUGUAUGUAUGUAUGUAUGUAUGUAUGUAUGUAUGUAUGUAUGUAUGUAUGUAUGUAUGUAUGUAUGUAUGUAGUGUGUAGGAGAGGGAACCGGGCACUGGAAACUAACUAUAUUAUAUAUCAAGACAUUUUUACCAGUGUUAUCGGUAUUACGUUGCGUGUAAUUCCUCGCCCUCCUCCUACACCUCCUCCUCCAUCUUCACCACAGUAGCUGUCCCUCUCGUGCCGCAGCCGGAACCAGGGGGCCCACAACAGCGCCCUAUAAUUAAAACUAUCACUGCCGCCGCCCGUGGACCCACUCAGGUUGAGUCACGUGCCGUACUGGCAGCAGCGUCGCAGCUACGACAGGAAAUAAAUGCCGGACAGUACGACGGGGUGGAACGUGCGUCGCUGCUGGUGGUGCUGAUGCUGCUGGAAGGCUUUUUCGCCAACUUUAGCAGCUCCUCCCCCUCCCACACCCCCUCCUCAACAGCCGGACAGUCCGCCGGGGGCGGUGCGGAGCCCACAUUGACCCCUUCUUGCCUCUCAGUCAUAUCAAGAAGUUACUUGGUGAGUUGUUGACAAAAAAAGCCAGUCGGAGCUUUGUUUGCGGAGUUUUUUGCGAAAAGUUUCGUUUGGGUGGAAGUGGACUCUUCUUUUUUUCCGUGAAGAAGAAGAAGAAGAAGAAGAAGAAGAAGAAGAAGAAGAAGAAGAAGAAGAAGAAGAAGAAGAACAGGCGAGGAAGGCGUGAGGGGGCCCGCUGCUUUCCCCUCGCGGCCUUCGAACUGCAUCGAUCCGCAAAAAAACUGCCUGUACCCCUGUCCCCCCUUUGUAUGCUAUGAUAUGAGAGAGAGCCUGUAUGGAAACUCGACGUCAUGUCUUGAUGACUGCCGUGAUUUCUCCUGCUGCCCCUGGCCGGCAUGCUACGAUAUCCCCACCCUAACCACCUUGACAACCAACCUAACCACCCGCUCAGGGCUUGUUCAACGGUCACAUGCCCGCGCCGCCGUCCUCGGGAAGGCCCAGUUUGUCAGCAGACGGCAACAACGGCCGCGGGGCCGAGAACGGUAUUACGGCAGUACCUGCCGCCGCCGCCAGCUCGCCCUCCCUGGAGUACGCCCGCCAGGCGUACGAGAUCUUGGAGCCUUUGGAACCUCGCGACAGCGAGUUACUGCUUGUGUUUGCUGCGAUGUUACGUGUGGUGGCGCGGGGGAGCGGUCCGGGGUCGGAAGACGCGGUAGUGGUGAUCGGCAAAUGGGCAACGAGGUUGCUGCUGGGCAAGCUUAGCCGAUCGCCUGAGGUGAGCGUGUGGGUAUAUGGAUGUGCAGUUUGCAGUUUGCAGUUUGCAGUUUGCGGUUUGCGGAAUGACCAUGGUGAUGGGCUAGCAGCGGCCCUGUGGGAGGUUGUUGUUGUAGUAGUUAUUUCGUUAGUUCGUUAUUGUGGUGGUUAGGGUUUUAGGGUUGUGGUGGGGGUCAGAGGGAAUGGCUUGUACGGGGGAGGGGGAAAAGGGGGGGCAAUGGACCGUGUAAUGUGGGGACCCUUAGGGUUUGGGACCGGUGUAGCCGUUACGUCGUGGAGCCGACCUCUCAACUUUCAACUCGUCGUCGUUGCGAACACAGACAGAUACGCGGUCCUUGUUUUAUGACUGUCUAGAAAGCCACCGCUGCAAAUACCGCCGUGAAUGGUUUGUACGUAUUUGUACGUACCCACAACUGAUUAACCACUAACCGCUAACCGCUAACCGCUAACCGCUAACCGCUCCUACAGGCGGAGGAGGCCGUUUUGUCGUUUCUCUGGUAUUUAGCUGGACGAGACGAGGCCUACGCCAUGCUGGUGCUCCUAAAGCGUCAGAGGAUGUCGGGGCUGGUGAAAAGGACAAAGCCGGAUGCCGCUGGAGNNNNNNNNNNNNNNNNNNNNNNNNNNNNNNNNNNNNNNNNNNNNNNNNNNNNNNNNNNNNNNNNNNNNNNNNNNNNNNNNNNNNNNNNNNNNNNNNNNNNNNNNNNNNNNNNNNNNNNNNNNNNNNNNNNNNNNNNNNNNNNNNNNNNNNNNNNNNNNNNNNNNNNNNNNNNNNNNNNNNNNNNNNNNNNNNNNNNNNNNNNNNNNNNNNNNNNNNNNNNNNNNNNNNNNNNNNNNNNNNNNNNNNNNCAAUGCUGCCGGCCGCCGCCGCCACCAACGGCUCCGUCACCUCAACGCUGGUGGCGCCGAUGCGGGUCGCUGAUGACGGCUCUUCGACGGAGGCCGGCAGCAGUGCGCUGUCGUCGCCCGCUGGCGGCGACGCCGUCUCCACUUCCGCUGACCAGCUCUCCGCGACGCAGAUGGCGCAGCUGGUCUCUCAGGACCUGCAGCAGCUGUACCGAGUGGUGUUCCGGGAGGCGCUGGCGGGUAUCCCCUCCGUGGCGUACCCGCCUCCGGUGGCCACAGGCCGCAUCGACGUACAUAACGUGUGGCGAUGAUGAUGGUGGAGGUGGGGUGGCGAUGUCGGUUGCGCACAACGGUGAUGUUGGUGAUAGGUAGUGAUGGCGGCGAAAAUGGCCUGGCGUGGUGAUGGCGAUGACGGCGGUGAUGGUGAUGGUGAUGGUGAUGGUGAGCUCGUCGUGUUGGUGGUGGUGGGGUCAGGGGAGAGGCAGCGAAUAGCCGUGUUCGCUGGGUCGUGUACACGCAUGUCUGUGUGUGUGUAUUCGUGUUGUGUGUUUUUAUUCCCUCGAACGUUGUAGGCCGCGCGAGCGGACCGUGACUCCCCUGAAGUCGGUAUGUGUACGGGGGAAGUGGUUGGUUUGCGUCCUUCAGAGGUCUAUAAGCGCCAAGGAAGGAAGGGGCGACAGGGGGGCCAAUCCUGAUGAUGUUGAAGAUGCACAGGUCGUGUGCAGGUGUCGCCUCUUUCAUUCCAGAACUCAAAAUAGCUAUGUACGGCAGGAGUAAAACGAGCGGAGCUGUACGACAGCUUGCAGUACUGAUGAUGAUUAAUGCUCUAGCAGUCUUGCAUUCAUUUGCACAUUGGUUCUCGUGGUUGGCGGGGGGGAGGUGCGCCCCUGUGAUUGGGGGGUUGAGGGUCAAUGCCCUCGUUUCACUUCGGCUGGUGACUGUGAGUUUGACCGGAUGGGAAAAGGAGGGGGAGAGGAGGGGGGGCCAUUGGGCGCUGGCAGCUGGGUGUGAUAGCUUCAGCCCGCCCCGAGAGAGCGCAGGCCUGACACAUCCGACAGGGCAAUAAAGUGCCGUAGCAGGAGUUAUAACCUCUUUGUCGUACCUGUACGGUACAUGUGUAUAGACGACUGUUAAUUAAUGACGCAUCCGACUAAAUAUAUAGAGAGUUGUGUACGACUGUAGGUGCCGUAGGAUGUGGCAGGGUCAGCGGCGGUGAUGGUAGUGGAGGUGGUGGCGACGAAAGUUGGGGCGGCGGUGGAGGUGGAGGCUCUGGAGGUUGGAGGUUGGAGUGCUAUGUGUUCUCGUAUUUUACUCAUGCUUCCUGCCCUCGGGCCCUCACGACGGUGAUGUUCGUUAGUAGCCUAUAUUGGCUACGUCCUGGAGUUUAGAGGUGCCAUGUUCAUCAGGCGCGUGAUGCUGCCGGCUCUUGGCUGCUCCGGGCGCCGCCCCCCCCGGGGGUGGGGUCCUCGGUCCGCAGGUCCGAGAAGAAAAUUCGCGAUUCCCAUUGAACAAAUAUCCGAUUUUCAAAAAUGAUUUGUUAAUUAAAAAACUGUAUUCGCUCAUUACGUUGGUAUGCGUUUUGCUGAGAACUUGCGUUUGCACUUGCUGCUGAAGACACGGCCGCUUACUGAUACGGAGAGGCCCUGUCGUUAGCUGACCUGACCUGACCUGGCGUGACAUGAGGUGGUGGUGAUUUUCGGGACUUUCAGCUUGGCGGCAUUGGCUGCGGUGAUGGCGCUGCGGCGCCGCUGUGAUGGCUUUGUUGAUGAUGCUGGUGGUGGUCGUAGGGUGGUUGUAGGGUAAAAUGCAAUGAUGGUUGGCUUCAUGGUGUGUCUGGUAAGGAUUACCGCUGUGGAGGCUGAAGGUGAUGAUGAUUGUGGUUGUUGUUGUUGUUGUGGUGGUGGUGGUGGUGGUGAUGGACUUCGGUUGCUGGGGCUGGCGGUAGACGGAGAAGCUCAUUUCAGCUUCAAUAGGACCACAAGGAGCGGCAGCAGCAGCAAUGGCAGUGGCAGCAGUAGUAGCAGUAGCAGUCACAAGGGGGGUUUAGUAGUUAGGAAAGGGCUACACCAGCUGUCCCCAGCCUUCCUUCCAUUCCCCCUUCCCUCCUGUUCAUCUACAGUACCAUCCUGCUACCGGCCACACCAACUAAGACACCGGAAAGUGGGUCUAACACACAGACACAGGUUGACACCACAACGCCAACGCCAACAGCUUUGCAAGUAAAAUUAUAACACAAGCAACGAACGAACAAACAACCAAACCAGAUACACUAACGACUCCAACAAACUGCAACCACCAGCCGUCAAUCAUCAGCGACAACCCAACACGUGCUGCACGCGGCGGCCAACAUCCCCCCCACAACGGCUCUUGCCCGGUGUUUCGUUGUUGACAGUUAACAAUAACGGUUCGUUAGUUAAAACCCGGGAAAGCCCCAUCGAUCCCUAAAUGUCACUCUAACCUUUUUAAAGUGGAAUGAAGCCCUUUGCAUCGUUUUGAAGUCACUUAGUAGGGGGGAAAUUCAAAUUUUGAGGUGAGCUGCCCCAGGCCGGGUUUGGAACCUAACACCUCCCGAAUUGAAUAAGCCGUGUGAAUGUUGGGAGGAGGACAGUGCAACACACGCAUCUCCAGGUCCUACGGGUCCGUGUUUGAAAACAUCACAUGACACAGGCACCCUCACACCGACAUACAUAUGUACAUACGCGCACACGUAUGUGUGUAUGUAUGUCGCAGUAUGAGCGACGGGUUGCAGCUUGCAGACAUACACACAGAGUCAGACACAUGCGAGACACACCAGCAUCUGCGCUUCCUCCGAAUACUCCCCUAAAACAAUGAGACGCGCCCUAAACCCCUUAAAACCCUAGGCAUCCCCCGCCGGGUUUUCCCCUCGCUGAUUCCCCCCGUUGCUGUUGGGUUUUCCUCCCGUUGCUACCUUGGUCCGUUGGGUAACAGAGGGUCACGUGCAACACCCUGUAAGUGAAUCCCUUCAGGAUCCGAAAAGCUACAGCCCCUACUCGCGUAGUGAGUCUUGUUGUACCCCUUUGUUCUGCCCCUGCUGCUGCUACUGCUGGUCUGAGUUUUGUUGGUCAGGCGAUGAAGGCGGUAAAGCUGUCGGUGUCGGUGGCAAUGAUGGUGAUGGCAAUGAUGAUGAUGACGACGGGGCGGCGGCCGGGGUGGCCGCUGCGGCCGGGGGCAGCCCCCCCGCCACGUCGACGGAGGUGAGACGCAAGACGCCCACAGCGCAUGUGAAGCCGUGGAGGUGUGUGGUGUUGUCCACGCGCCCAAUCUCACCUGCGGGCCGCGCAGCGACCGCGGAUGCACCCGGAACAGACCCAUGGGUCAGGAGGCCGCAAAGGUAGCCACGGAAGGCGCCGCAUUGACAGAGACCCACGGGUCGCGGUGGAUACACAUCUCCUAAGUCCCACGAUCUCUAAAACGCACUGGAAGUGAAGACGGGACGAUGGACCCAUGGGAUUGCCCGAGAAGUGCCAAUGUAUGACGCAAAGCUGGACAGUAACGCCUGCUCGUCCCCCAGCACCGCAAAACUAUUAGAAAGGAAAUGCGGUAGUGCUGGUUAAACCACAUGGUCAGACACAUCCCGUCUCCGCAGUCCCCCCCUGCCUUCCUCUCCCUCCCCAGAACCCACUUCCCACCAUUGCACUGAAAACCCGCGCACGGCACCGGCACGUACGACGACAUUGUACGGGCGUCGUACGAGUCCUCGCCGUACAGUCCAGACCCGCGGCCGUUGCAUGUGAACAUGAACAUGCCGAAGGGCGGUGGGGGCUGCUCCGCAGCGCCCCCCUGAAGCAUUGCCUGAAGGAAUAGUUUGGAUGUAUGUAUGCUUGUAUAUUUGUAUGUAUAUAUGUACGUAUUAUGCAUGUAUGUGUGUGUGAAUGAGACGAGAAGCAACGAAUUAGGACACCACCAUUUUGCGCCGGGACGGGAUGGGACGAUCGAAAGUUCACUAGAAGGUCCCAGCGACCCUCAAAUCAAUACAUCAAUAUAAAUAGAUUAAUAUCAUUAUCAAUAUCAGUACAGGCGGCCUAGGAGUCAUCCGGAAGCUCCCGCCAGAAAAACCCAGAACCCACUUCACACCCCGAACCCCCAGUGCAGUGUCGAAACCCCCCCGGUCUUACCCCCGAACCCCCCAACCUUCCCCCCUUGAAAAGGCAAAGGAAACGCAACACCCUGCACGGGGUAAUGCCGUACAUACCUGCAGCUGCUUGCGCUUGUACGACAGGCCGUGCGAAGUGAGAUCUUCCUGAGCGCCCUGCUUGUCUCGUACCUGCACAAAAACACAAAAAUGUUGCUGCAACAACAAAAACAGUCGCCACCACCAUCAUCACCCCGACUACCCGGGUGUUUCCUAGUUGAGGGGUUUGUUUUUCAAAAGCAAAAACGUCCUAUCAGCUGGCUGAAUGUGGUUGAUAGAUAUUUUAUAUCGGAGGAGCUGAGGGGCGGGGAGAUGACAUGGCUGGGUAGCUGCUGCUUCAGAGCGAUGCACCAUAUACAUCACAGCGAUCCCAUUCCCCAGGGCCACAACUGAGCCCCGUACAUCAGGGGGCUCAGAAAGGUAAGUUGUGUAAUCAUGGGGCUCAGAAAGGUAAGUGAGUGCAGGAGGUGAUGAUGUGAUGAGCUUGUUGGAAAGGUGAUGUGCAUUAGCCCACGCGUACGACGAUGCCGUACGCUGUGCCGUACACCCACCAUGAAUCGUAUUCUCUGUCCCACCCUCAAGUACUCCCCCACCACCAGGCUCUGUUCGGAAUCAAAUCCGCGAAGCGCCCGAAUGAGAAAGUCCUACGCUCGUACAUCCGUACGCACGUCCGUACAGGUGCGAGAGGAGCGGUGUCGUGUGUGUGUGUAUGGCGGGGGGGAAGGAGGGGAGAGGGGCGGCGGGGGAAGCCAUGAAGGAGGUCGUACAGCGGGGGAUGGUGUCAGGGCUCUCCAAAGGCAAGAGACAUACAUACAUACAUACAAACAUACAUACAUACAGCACACCCCACGGCUCGCAAUUACGAGGGUAGAGGUCGUUAUGAGCCCUCCAGGCAUCACCACGUUAUCCCGGCUCCCCCCCCCUUAACCCUAACACAUCACGAAUAUCGGCAAACCUCCAAUCAACACCCCCGAGCCAAGCCCGCAACCCCUCCCGCCGUCCCCCCGCCCUUCCCCCCGCCCUUCCCCCCGCCCUCCCCCCCCACCAAACUAAGCUUCCCCCCCAUUACACACAUACACGCACACGCACACCCACGUGCGGCUCCAGGGAGGCCUUCAGCCCCUCCGGGGCGACUCCCACCGUCAGGUUGGCCACCGUCUUACGAAGCUGAGCCUCGCUCAUACCGCUGAGCACGGACUGAGAGCAGGGGGGGGGUUGCGGGGGGAAAUGUGCGGGUUUGCGGGGCUGUUCAUAUGGUUCCCUAACUCCUUGCGCGCAUGUAUGCGUGUGUGUCUGUAUGUAUACCUGCCUUUGUGUGCGUGACACGCGGCGCGUGGUGUGUAUGUGUAUGGAUUCUACAACCCUACCCCCCAAUGCAACACCCGCGGGUAGUGCGGGGGGCCCUCCCCCUUCCCGCACCUCUCCCCAUCCUCCUCCCCAUCCUCCCAUCCUCGCGAAUUUCUAUUUUCCAACCCUCCCCUUCACCCUGACGACCCGGCAAUGUACGGCACGGUACAGCAAUGUACGGCACCUGCAGCUCUAUUUGAAACGCCUCCAGUGCCCUUAGCGAUCUCCCCCGGGCUACACUCGGGGCGGACAGCGCCGUGACGCGGGAGGGGUUAGCCGGGUCAACGUGGUCAACGGUCCAGGUGGUGGAGGUGAGGGGGCGGCAACCCUGGAGGGGGGGAGGGAGGAAAUACACAUGGAAUGGUGGGGGCGGGGAGGGGAGGGGGGAGGGAAGGGGAGGAGGGAGGGGAGGGGGGAGGGAAGGGGAGGAGGGAGGGGAGGGGGGAGGGAAGGGGGGAUGGGAGGGAAGUGGGGAGGAGAGGAAGGGGGGAGGGGAGGGAUGUGGGGAAGAGAGGAAGGGGGGAGGGGAGGGAAGGGGGGAGGGAAGUGAGGAGGGGAGGGGGGAGAGGAAGGGGAAGGGGAAGUGGGGGAGGGGAGGGGAGAGGAAGUGAGAGAAAGGCGUUGGCAAGGGUACGGGUAGAACGGGGAGGAGGGGGUGAGAGGGCAGGGCGGAGCGAAUGGUGGUGCGCGGGACGUGUUUUUUUGUGUGUACGAGGACACGUACGACAAGUUCUGUCAAUGUUUUAAGGCAUCCACCACCACCACCAGCUGGCCCGCUGGCUCUACUUUUCACGAGUCUGCCUACUCUCACUGUAACAACCACACACACAACCACACACACACACACACCCCAAAACAGACACCAACACGCCCACACACCAACACACACACACACCCCACCACGACCACCUACCUGUGCAAUCAUUAGGUCCAUCUGAACCUCCCCGAAAAUGGACAUAACGACUACGCCGCGUGUGAAAACCCCUAUACCAUCACCACCACCAUCACCACCACCACCACCACCACCACCACCACCACCGCCGGCUCUGCUACUGCUGCUGCUACUGCCGGGCUCACUGGCGGUGUCAAUGGUAGUAGCGGCGGCGGUGGCAACAGCAGAUGUGGCAGGUAGUGCCGUACUUGCUGUUGCGGCGGCGGCGGACCAGCAGAAUGUGGCUGUACGGGAGCCCCCGAAUGAGGAGGAGGAGCUGAGGCCACCUGGCGGGUUAGUUGGUUGGUUGGUUGUUGGGUUUCUCUUUUGACAGUUGAGUUAGUUAUUAGACGGUUUGUCGGUUAGUUAUUGAAAUUGUACGAAUGAUAAAACAAUAAGGAAGUGGCAGUUGAGGUUACUGUGGCUAUUACUGUGGCUACCAUUCACUGGUAUAUGAGUGUCGGUCAUUUCCAACAAUGGCCGUACCGUGCCACGCAAAAUGCCGUACAACCCAACACGAAAUUUCAUCCUGGUCCCCAGGAUGGUCCCCAAACUGUUGUCCCCUUCCUCCACCUCCCCCUUUACGUGUAUAUAAAUAUAAAUAUAAAAUAAAUGAAGUAAAAAAUGUAUGUAUGUAUGUAUGUAUGUAUGUAUGUAUGUAUGUAUGUAUGUAUGUAUGUAUGUAUGUAUGUAUGUAUGUAUGUAUGUAUGUAUGUAUGUAUGUAUGUAUGUAUGUAUGUAUGUAUGUAUGUAUGUAUGUAUGUAUGUCCAAUGCCGCCAGCGCUGUCACGGCACCGCCCUCACCAAUCUUUGCGGCCGUGGGAAAGGCGAAAUCCAGUCCCCCCAGUAGAUCCUGUACGGCAGCGAAGGAGGGAUCUGACAGCACCACCAGCGACAGGGGGCUUUCCGGGAAGGCGGGUACUCCGAGUACGGCAGACCAGCGAUCCGGAGGCGCAUCUAUUCGUAUGUACGUAUGUAUGUACGUAUAUGCGGGAGGUGGGUGGGUGGGCCGGGUAAAAAGCUGUUAGGAGAUGGAGAAGAAGGAUAGGAACGAAGCCGUACGUACGGCGGGUGGGCAAGGCGGUUAUGACGGUUAAGUGGGGAACGUCAAAUUAUACGGGCAGCGAACGUCAAAGAAGAACAAAUGCUAACCGAAAGCUGGAGAUAAAUAAAUAAAAAAAGGAGACAGACUGCCAGCUGGCCCAAAAUAAUAGUAACAAACAAAUAAAUAAUAAAUAAAUAAAUAAAUAAAUAAAUAAAUAAAUAAUAAUAAAUAAAUAAUAAUAAAUAAAUAAAUAUACCCAACUGGCCCAAGUAGCUCCGGAACCUUGAGAUGGGGAUGGAAGGAGAAAUUGCCGUCCCAGGGCCCUAUGACCCCUCUCCCGUGCCUCAGGGCCCCCGGAGGGCCCUAUGACGAAAUAUGCCGAAAAAAGGGCCUUACCUCCGUCAGGUACGUUCGUCUCGUCCAAGUGCCGUACAAUCACUUCGGCCUGCGCGGAAGCAAGGCGUCGCCUGCUUUAUAUAUGGGACCAUGAUGUCCGCUCGCUCACUCUCACUCCCCCCACACACGCGCAAAGACAGGACAAAACUACAAAUACCGAAGCGCACACGCACAUACAUAUAUACUUACAAAAACGCAUGCACGCGCACGCAGAUGGGGGACAUAAGCGCGGAAGAGGGCGAUUCGGGAAGUGAAAGUUCGAAACCCUAAAGUUUGCCCUUCAUUAUUACUAAUUACUAAUUACGAAACGAAAUUAACUUUUAGCCGACUCAACUGAGUCCAAUUCAAACACUCUAGACUAGAAUUUAAUAAUAACACAGCCAAAUUCAAAUUCAAAUAACUUGAGGGGAAUUAUUCGUGCCUACCUGUGGAAUGGAUACCAGAGAAAGGCUGAGGGCGGGUUGAGCCUCAACCUCCAGAGCACCCUCCUCAUCCACCCCGAUGACUCCAAAACCCUAGAGAGAAGAUUACGAAUGGGUACGGCAAUCAAUGUACGACGUACGACAUCACACAAUAACGCCGGCUGGACCCACCCGGGUUUCGGACCGGGUUUAGGUUUUCUAAUGGUACGCGAGCACGAAGCUGCCCCGCGGUGCCGUACAAUGUACGAGCGCCCCCGAGUACCAUGUCGAGCCCUCAAUUCCCCCCCUCUCCCCGAACCCACCGUACAUCCAAACACGUUUUUGAGGCCGGGUAACUCCGCCCGCAACGCCUGCACAAGAGACCCGAAGUCCUGCGGGGCGGUGUGUCAGGUAGGUGUGUAUUUCUGGUUGGGGUGGGAGAGAGGGAGAGAAACACGUGCACGGAAGCAAGGAACUAACUAUUGCCGCCGUCCAGAGUUACAUCGGGGGGGGUGGGGGAGGCCAGCAACACCAAAGCCAAGGAAGGGCAAACGAUGCCACUGACCGGAUGUCCCAAAAAGUUGCAAAAAGUGCUGGAGGGGGGCCGGGAGGGAGGGGGGGAAAGAGGGAGGGAGGGGGAAAAGACGAACCACACACGAUUGAAGCUGCUGCCAGGGCAAGAGUGUAUGAAACGUAGAACUGACCGAAAGGCGUCCGUGGCGACCGCGACCUCGGGAGGGAGGGGGGAGGGAGGGAACGGUGCGAAUGGUGUAACGCGGGCGUUAUGUCAUGACCUUGAAGACCACGCUUGUGUCGUGCGGGUGUCCUUACACGGAGAUGAGGCCAAGACGGCACAGGAGAUACCGCCGUAUUGCCAUGCCGUACAUAUGGUACGGCAUGCCGUACCUCCAAAUAUUCAGAGGAGACGUACACCAUGGCCACGUCGAUGACGUCAGGCAGGGGCCCUCCCUGAGUGCGAAUAUGCGUCAGGCAGUCGAAGAGAGCCUGUAGCAGCAACGGCUUGCGUGAAAUGUACGUCUUCCAGAAAGGAAGCCGGGCAGUAGUGCCGGAGGAUGCGGCGGCGGCGACGGCUGUAGCAUCCGAGUUUGCGGCGCUUGCGCAGGCUAUAGAAGCGCGUGGUUUCAGGGCUUGUUCUCGCGGCGCGGGAAGGGAAGAAGGGAUGGGGGGGUGGCACCGGACGUAGAGGUGUUGUCGUCGUCGCUGGCUGGGGCGGCUGCUACUGCUGCUGCUGCUGCUGCUGCUGCUGCCGGCGGCCGAUGCUGCUAGGAAAUGCUGCUGCCGUGUCGGAGGUGGGGAGCACGGUUUGGCGGCAGGCAAGCCGGCGGAGGCGGAGGAAUGUGUUGGGAGCAAGGCCGAGAAGGUUCUCUGUCGUUUGGCGGAGGUAAAGGCGGUCGUGGGCAUCCAGCCGGGACGUGCGGUGUAGCCAAUAGAGGUGGUAAGGAGACGAGGGCUUGCGCCAGGCCUGGAGAGCUGACCCAGAUCGGUUCUCAUUAUGUGACGUAAGUUUAAAUUUUAUAGCUGGUACAUGCGCUAGACUUCCGGCCAGGUUGUUGCGCGAUGAAGGUUGCCAGCCUUUGGCCUGCAACGUAGCCACGGAGCGGAAACCCUAGGUGCUAAAAAGCCAUCCAAAUAGAAAGCUCGUAUCUCCAGUAAUAAGGUGAGUACAAAGCCACGCGUAGAGCCCAUUCUGGCGUGCGAUAGGCGAAAGUCCGUGCAUUCCGUACAGGCUAUUAAACGCAGUAAGCGUACAACAAUUCAGACCAUUGCGCAUCAGUUACAAUCGUUUCCUUUUUAAACAACUGACUGUUAACCAUUUCAAAAUUUAGGAUUGCACAUUAGAGUUCAGUUGAUCGCUUGACUGACCUCAACCGCUUUUAACGAAUUACCAGAGUAUCUGAUAGCCGGAUAAUAAUCUAAGCUGAAAGGUUACUUGCAACGUGUAUUUGUAUGUGCCGGUUCCCAACCCUGGAUGACUCCGGUGUUAAGGCGCUGUCGACUCUCCUCUGUGUUCAACCUCUAUAUUGGACUCCUAGACUCUUAUGAGGGCUCACAGGAUUUGAUGCGGUCUUUGUUGACCGCAUCUGGCCCAGCACCCGCCAGCACGAGCCGUCACACGCUUGCCAGGGUCGUGGAGUUUCAAAGCCGGACCUUUGCUGCCAUCGCCCAGCCAGAAUUGGGAAUCUUGCGGCAGAUGGAGCCUCAAAGCGCGCAGCAGCAACAACAGCAGCAGGUCCAGCAGCAGGCCACCAUGUAUGAGCCGCUGCAGCAGGGCAUCGAGGUCGCACCCGCGUCCCCGCAGCGGACGUCAACGGGUUUUAAGAAAACAUUUUACAAAAGGAAGCUGCCCUCUCCACCUGCCAUAGAAUUUUCCUCGCCGGAAGGUGCGCAGCCUAAACCGGCCCAUGUGCCCGAAAACGAAGUCGACCUUUUUGAGUAUUGUUGGAAGUAUGGCGCACGGACCAGAAAAGACAUAUAACCCUCCUGCCUUCACGCAUGAUAUUCUCUACUUACGACUUAGCUGCUAAGGGAAGGAGGUCCACCUGGACCCACCUGAACCUUUCAGUACAUCCGUCAUCCGGAAGGAAGAACACGCAGUUGCAUCCACCAUCGUGUUUCGGCCAUGUAAUUGCUCUCUCUAUUUAUCUAUCUACCUAUCUAUCUCUCCAUGUCCAUCUCAUUUGCUAAAAGUAACUUGGGUCAUUCGCAAACGAGUUGUUCUCUGUCUAUUUCUUAUCUACGUUUGACGACUAGUCUGCGGAUUUUCACUCCUCCAUGCCUCUUCCCCCGUUCUCUCUUUCCUCCCCCUGCCCCAGGAAGGCAGCUGUUCCAGGAGGCCCUUCUGGAAGGCUCCAUGGUGGGCUUCUUCAAACUUAUGGAACAAUUUAAGUGAGUGGUUUCGGAGCAAGGAAAGCCCAGAUUCCCGGAAGCCCAGUGGGUAAUUCUUCGCGGGCGGGUGGCGGUUGGGGAACUAGAAUCACGGGGCAUUCAUGAGUUGGGGACACUUAAAAGCUGACCGGAGGGAACGGGGUGAGAUGGGACGAAAUCAUCAUCAUCAUCAUCAUCAUUAUCACCAACGCCACCACUAACACCACCACAAUGUUUCAUCACCAUCUUCAUCAUAACCACCAUCAUAACCACCUUCAUCAUAACCACCUUCAUCAUAACCAUCACCUUCACCAUCUUCACCAUAAUCAUCGUCAUAAACACCAUCAUCCUGUAAUGCCCCCCCUCUUGUACGCUCUUGCCCUGGCAGCAGCUUCACUCGUUCGUGGUUCGUCUUUCCCCCCCUCCACCCGCCCGCCAGUACGCAGGACGAGCCGGCCUUCUGCGGUCUGGCCUCCCUGGCUAUGGUGCUUAACGCGCUGUCCAUUGACCCCCGUCGCACAUGGAAGGGCUCAUGGCGCUGGUUCCAUGAAGCCAUGCUGGACUGCUGCAGGUUGGAUUUGAAGGCGAGGGGCGUGAGGGGGCGUGAGGGGGGAAAUGGGGUGUGUGGGGUAACUAAGAUGUGUGCGUGUGUAUGUAUGUCCCUCCAUCCCGUCAAUCGAGAUGCUUUCUGCAUGUUGGGGGGAAGAGGGCCGGUCGGUGCGUUGCCGGUGUUGUGCAUGCGGCGGCAUGUGUAGCAGCUCGCUGUGCGUAUCAGGACCCCCUGCUGCUGCUGCUGCUACUGCUGCUGCUACUGCUGCCGCCCCUGCUACUGCCCCUGCUACUGCUGCUGCCUGAGCGCUGGGGGACUCUGCUUCAACCUUCCCUCGCGCCGACUCGCCUCGCAUUGUAUAACUGGCAAUGUUAUCCUACAUCCUACGCGCGACAUACAUAUAUACAUACAUACGCACAUUACCUUGCGGUGUGUUUCGGCUUCGGCCCCCGGCUCUCGCGGCCCACAGUGUAAUCUAAGUCAUACAUACAUACGCACAUCUUACGACUCAGUUUAUUGUUAAGCACGCACUCACCCCUCCGUGCCGCCGGGCCCAUCAGGCCGCUGGAUGCCGUGAAGAAGGAGGGCAUUACUCUGUACCAGGUAAUUGGUAUACGACAAAUUGGGCGUGUGGGUUGCAGGUUCUGUUACUGUGAUAGAGUUAAGUAAUUGGUUCCUGUUACGGUGGUUAUUGCCGUUGUUCGUUAGCGGUUGUUCUUUAAAGGUUACUGUGUUGGCGAUUAUGCUUUGGAGUUUGGUGAUGUCUUGAAAGGUGCGAAUCCUAUGCACUCACACGUACACGUACACUCUCCCACAGGCUUCCUGCCUGGCUCGCUGUAACGGCGCCCGCGUGGAGCUGCGACCGUACGGCAGUACGACUUUGGAGCAGUUCCGUGCCGAGGUCCAGUCCGUGUGCCGAAGUGGGGAGGAGCACAUUGUGGUGUCGUACAGCCGCAAGGUGAGACAACGAAACCCUUGUCCUCAACACGCUCUAACACAUCAUUGGACGAGAUGGGGGGGGUGAGGAAGAAUCCCGAUCCAUAACCACCCAUGCACACAAACAUACAUACAAACAUACAUACGGCAGGCUGCUGGCAGAGGUUGAGGCCUGAGUUCUGCUCCCGGAGUGGCCGGGUUCAAAUCCGCCUGCCGACCUCUCGGGUGUGUGGGAGGUUUAGAAAUGGGAGGUGGCCCCCCAUCUUGUGGACGGUGUAGGACGUGAUAAUAUCAACUUGCAAGCUGACCAGGAACUAAGUUGAGGCGCCGUUGAUCCGCUAGAUUUGGUUGGAUGCUGGUGGUGAGUUGCCGAACCCAACGAAUAUAUUCUGAAAUCGGAUGGGGUGACGGAUUAGGGUGCCCCUCUAGCAGGGGAGAGCAGCGAACUGCCUCGGGAAAGGGGGCCGCUGGUGAAGCUAUACCACCCUGUAACAACAUACAUACAUACAUACACAAGUACACAAAACACAUGACGUUCCGCUACCAUGCAAC
rnacentral:lncRNA from 1 species